rnacentral:lncRNA from 1 species
UGCAUUGAUGAUAUUGAGAGUAUGUGCUCAGCAUUCUUAUGGAGCGGCUCCCCAAAUAACACUUCUAUGGCAAAGGUUGCUUGGGCUGAUGUCUGCUGUCCAUUCGAAGAAGGUGGCUUGGGUCUGAGACGGGUUCAGGAAGUGAGUACAGUCUGCAUCCUAAAGCUUAUCUGGCGACUCUCUGCCCACUCUAGCUCGCUGUGGGGAUCUUGGGUGAAACAAUAUCUCCUUCGUGGAGAGACUUUAUGGGAUGUGAGGGACACUGGACUAGGGUCAUGGGUUUGGCGUAAGAUUCUGAAGUAUAGGAACCUAGCAAAGCAGUUCAUCCGUAUGGACAUAGGGAAUGGUCAGUCAGUGAGGUUUUGGUCGGAUCUCUGGCACCCUGCAGGAAGACUGAUAGAGAUUACUGGGGAGAUUGGAACGCAAAAGCUUGGCAUAGGGAGAAACGCAAGAAUUUGUGAUGUGUAUAGAGAUGGAGAUUGGAGGUUUCGGGCCUGUCGGGAUCAACAAUUACAGCAACUGGUACAUGCGAUUCACCAGUUUCCCAUCGAACUAAAUGCUGAGGCUGCUGAUGGGGCUUUGUGGAAAAAUGGACCUGAUGAUUAUGGGGAUAGGUUCAUCGCCUCGAGUACUUGGCACCAGAUCAGACAGCGUAAGGAAAAUCUGCAAUGGAGUAAGCUUGUGUGGUUCUCGCAAGGAGUUCCCCGCUACGCUUUCAUUACCUGGCUAGCUUUCCGUGACAGACUGGCUACAGGCCAUCGAACUAGUAAAUGGGGCCAACCACAAUGUUGCUUGUUUUGUGGUGAACCGGAUGAGACCAGGGAGCAUUUGUUUUUCGCAUGUCCCUAUACCUACACGUUGUGGCUGAAAGUUGUGGGUAAUUUGUUUGGAGAUGAGCCAGACCUGGACUGGGAUAUCACAGUUUCGAUCUUGCUCACACGGAGGUAUGAUCGCAUCACUUUCAUCUUGCUGCGACUGGUUCUGCAGGUCACUAUAUACUCAGUUUGGAGGGAGAGGAAUGAUCGACGGCAUAACAGCACUGCAAAGUCUGUGGACCAGUUGGGUCGCAUCAUCGACAAAACAAUGAGAAGCUGCAUAAUGUCAACGAAGUACUACUUGAAACCGAAACUGCAGGGGCUGAUGCAACGUUGGUUUACGGCUCAUAUGCCUUAACCUGUUUUCAGUAUAUUCUUUCAGUUAGUAUAUUUUUUUUUAAAACUGCAGUCUUAAAAAUACCCUUGUAUAUAUAUUCUUUUUGCGAUGAUCAAUAAAUUAAAAAUUUCAUCAAAAAAAAAAAAAGCAUGUGGAAGUCUGUGCUAAGAAAACAAGUGUCAGUUGAGAUUUGUAUAAGUAUUGUUUUUGUUAUAAGAAUGAAAAAAAAAAUUGAUUAUUUCGGAAGUUUAAAAUCUGUUGAAUGUCUUUUUGAAAUAAUUAUUCCAUGUAACUUAACCAGUCGAUAGCUAAAAGUCCUAAGAGCAAAUUUUUGUAUGAUUCACAAUCAGUCUGUAGCAAGCAACAAAUCCUCAGGAUAAUUAUACAAAAGAAAAUGUUUGUUUGUCAAAAUCACUGGUAUAGUAUUUUAUACUAUGACACAACAAUGUUCGUGAACAAAAACAAAACGAAAAAAACAAAUCUUUUGGGGGAGGGGGUGGGGGGUUUGGUUCGAUAAUUCAGAUACAUUGGCAGCGAAGAGGAACAGAAGUACCAACUGGUUUUCUCCUCUCCCUAAUGACAGCUUCCUUCACCAUUGGCACCUUCUGCUGUACCUUCUUCCAUAUGUGAUUGACCGCACCAUCAGGUUGGAUCGGUCCAAUCCCAUCUGCUCGACCAUUAUCAUACACAAAAACUGACUGCACCUUUGCCAUUCUACUUCGAAAUGAUUCCUUGUCUCUGUCGGAGAAGCUUCUGAGAUGAUUAGCCAACCAUUUAGGUGUUAACGCAUCACUUACAGAGACAAAGACCGAGAAUUCUGAGUAAUCUAGAAUUCCUUCAAAGGGGAGCUCUAUGUUGUCGCUGACAAUCACAGGGAUGCAUAGGCUUUGAAUGGCGUCAAAGAGACGGCAUGAAGUGGGAGUGUCACCUGCUGGAUGCAAGCAGAACUCUGAGUUUCUCAUCCCUCUUAUCGACUGUUCUCUUCCAGUUGCAUUGGGGAAACCUUCUUCCAUGACGAUGUCGUGUUCAUCCACCAGCAAGUCCCAUAGCUUUUUUCUAAUCAACCCACCCUGUCAAGGUGAACAUAUACACAAAAUUACCACUGACCAUUUGCUAUGAAGACAUAUAAUGAUUGAGAUAAAAGUAAGUUACCCGAUGUCUGUGCUUAGCACCUUUGAAAUAAAGAAGACUGUGCCGUCUCUGGUUGCGAGACAAAUCAAGCCUAGGAAGAAGAUGCGUGUAUGGAACAAUCACAUCCUUAAUGACAGAGACUUGGGUAUGCUCAAUCCUCUCAGGGAAGCUACUAGACUUAGAAUCUAGCCUGAACCAUCCUCCAAAAUCCACGACAAGAAGAAUAGAGAGAGCAAUCUCAUCGCGGACAUGCCACAUUGCAACAGGGUCUGCCAAAGAAGGCUUCAACAUUUAACUAACCUGAACAAAUACAUUACAUCCAACAGAUUUAAGAUUCUAAGUCUAUCAGAUCUAUUGUUUUUUUGUAAGAAGAUUUGGUACCGGUUAGGACGAAAACGUGAUCACGUCCACCGGAUCGCUUCCAAGCUUGAGUCUUGUUCAAAAAGUCAAGAACUUGCCUCUGCCUCUGAUAAUCUUCGUUUCCAGAUCUCUUCCUGAAGGAGCCUUUGCCAUUCCCAAGCUCCAUCUCCGCGCUUAGCGUGGCGAAGAAGGGCACGAACACUACAUCAGCUUCGGAUUCUCUGAAAACCCUUUUGGCGAAAGAUCCGAUUCGUCUCUCGUGUGGAGUCUCGAGGUCUCCCAUGAUCCAGUACUCUGCACUGUACUGCUUGAUCAGAGGGUUCUCCGGGUAUUUACCGGGUUUGGGUGGAUUGGGUUUCCGGGUCGGGUGGUCAGGGUCGCUGGGUAUGCGUGAAUCUGGAGGAGAGGACCAGUACUUGUCGAGGAGACCGUAGUUUAGGGAUCUCGGAAGCUCAGCUACGAAGACAUUGAUGCCCGUUUCGACGGUACCGCGCGAGAUCCUUAGAUUUGGGUCGGAUAGUAAGGAGUUUGAGAAGAAGAGAAGCGAGACGAUGGAGACGAGUGAAAAGGCGAGGAACAAGCAAGAGUGUGAGCAGAGAGGUCUAGCGACCGCCAUUGAUGUCAUCUUAGGAACCAUCGGAUCGGAGCUCUUUAGAUCUCUGAUUUGCUUCCUAUUAACUAUAGCUUUAGCAUUUUUUUCAUGUUACAAAAAAAAAUAUCAUCUGCAACUUUCAGUUUAAAAUUAAUUACAAAUACAUUGAUUUAAUAAAUAAUUUUAUUUAUCUCAAAUACUAUUGGUUAAAUAUGUGUAAUUAAUAAAAAAUUUAAUGUAUUUUAAUUAUUUUUUAAAUUUGUGUGAAAAAUAUCAAAGUGGCAUUUUUUAUGAAACUAUGGAGUAUUAUUUAUUGUAUCUUUGAGUUCAAUAUUUUUGAUUAUGAGAUAUAGACAUUUGAUUGUGUUGUAAAAAAAAAAUAGACAUUUGAUUAAUUUUGUAUAUAGUAGUACAAGACCUGUGCAAUUGAAAUAUUGAAAAAACAUAUACCAGUAAUUAUAUAAAAAACAUAACUUACGUUGUAUAAUUUGUUUAAAAAUAAUCACUCGACUUUUAAAUGGUUUAACCCGAUCAUAUGUGGCUUUGUGAGGUCUGAGAUGGCUGAGGAACUUGUUGUUAGAGGAGGUGUCCUCCUCAUAGCUUUCAAGCUUGGGUUGCAAGCACUUUCUCCUGUCAGGUGUAAGGAGAACACUCUGUAGUACCCACCUAUUGGUGAGUUCUGUUUUCUUGUUUCUGUUGUUUUCUAGUCUCGUCUGAGAGUUAGAUUUUUAAACUUCUCAGACCUUUUUCUCCUAGGACAUGGUCUUCGUGGAGAGUUGCAUUAAUCCUUGGAAUGAUAAUCCAGUGUAAAAAAAGAAUAUAAUCGAGAGAUUUUGGAAUUUGGCCAAUGAAACCUAAAAAAUAUUGUUAAUUUGUUUAAAUGUGAAAAAUUAGCCAUAUAUAUUCAAUAAAGCUUGGUCGAAAAACAUUUAUUUUGAUUAAAUUAUAGGCCAGACAAAACGCCAACUAUAAAAACUAAAAGUUUUUGACCAAUUGUUGGACCAUGUUUUAACUUCAUUUCCAAAUGGGUCCAAUUAUGAUCUCAGCUUUAUGUUGUUGGUGUGAUGGCGGAUAAGAACAGAUAUCAGCUCAAUCUAGGGAUUUCGAUUUGAAAUCACUAGAGACUUGCAACUUGAAGAAAAUGAAUCUAAUCGAAUCUCUUUCAAGGCUUUUCGAACAAGACGAAUUGAAUCGAAUCUCUAUCAAAGUAUAAAGCACAAAGCUAGUUUAUUAAUUAUCAAAAGUGUAUCUUACAAAAGCCAUAAGAGAGUUUCUUACAUAGGACUCUUAAAUCGUCAUUAGAAUCUUUAACCUAAUAGAAAAGGAAAAACAUAAACCCUAAGUAAAAAGGAAAUCACUUAAAAAACGAAAACUUGACGUUGAAGGUACUAGGAUGCUGCUGCAUCAGGUCCCCCGAGGUGAAGAAGAUUCGUCUGUGAAUCGUGAGGCUGAUCUGGAGGGAAAUAUCGAGAGAGGUACUUGACAUUAAAAACAUCUGAAGUAGUUAUAUUAGAGGGAAGUUGAAGUCGAUAGGUGUUGUCAUUUAUGCGCUCAAGAACUUCCAGCGGACCGAUCUUCUUAGCCUUGAGUUUAUUAUAGGCGUGGUCAUGCAUACGGUAUCAAGUCAAAUACGCCCAAGGUCGCCGACGUCAAAGAUAAGGCGACGGCGAUGAGCAUCGACCGCAGAUUUAUACUUUGACACUGAUGCUUCCAAGUUUGUAUUAGUCUGAACAUGCGUUUCGACGAGCUGCUCCAUAAAUGUCUCAGCCACUCCAUGAAGACGUUGACGAUCCGGCAAUGUGGAUAGAUCUGUCGGUGCACGAGGUACCAAGCUGUGAACAACCUGAAAAGGACUGAAGCGAGUACUACGGUUAACAGCUCCCUCCGGGUUUGAUGUUCCGCCAACCAUAGAUGAACCGUCGAGGAUACAAGUAGUCACGAACGGCUCCCGAAUUAUUAACGAGGUUGAUUUCCUAGACUUUAUUGGCUUUAGGUGCCGAGUUCCUUUUUGGCACUUAGAGGUCUUUGCAGGGUAUGGAAGUGUUUGACAAAAGACUGAGAAGCUUAUGUAAAUGAAUUGUUUGAAUAAAAAAAUAUAGUUCAUCUAAACUAUUAAAACUGUGUUCUGAAGCAUAAGAAAUAUCUACCAUUCUUCCACCAGAGCACACACGUAUAGUCAUCUUGUACUGAUGUUUUAUAGUUCGAUAUUGACCACAGGCUGAUGAAGUUAGGGUUUCGUGUUUAGGUUUUCUGGAUGCGUUUUUUUACGGAGGAUAAAUGAGAUAUAUAAACUCGGCAUAGGGAAGGGUAUGUUUAAUAGGAUCAACUCAUCAUUUUUGGUAGUUUUAAUUUUAACACUAAAUCAAAUCAAAUAUAUACAUUCCUUUUAAGUUAUACCAUAAUAAAAACAGAAUAUACUUUCUGUAGAGAAGGAAUAUGUGUUUGUCAUGUUUAAAUAAAAGAAAACUAGGUGUUUUGUCCGCAAGUGCGGGCAACUUAAUAAUUUUAUAAAAUUUUGUAAAGAAAUAAAAAAUUUGAAUAAGUUAUUUUCAUGCUUUUUAAAUAUUUAAUAAUUAAUUUAAUAUUAAAUUUUCUAUAUACGCUAAAGUUUUUUAUUUUAAUAAAAUAUCUAUUAUUAUGUAAAAUAAUCCUCAAAACAUUUAUGUAUACAUAAAAAUAUACAUAAAACUAUAUACAUGAAUUUAUAUUUAUUUUAAUAAAAUAAAGUAAAAGAUAGAAGAUUUAUGGGGUUUUAUUGUUAAAACCUCUCAACUAAUUUUUUUUAUAUUGACAUGUAAUAAAAAUUGUCUAAAAUUAUUUUUUAAAAUUAAUAAUUGAGUAUAAAAUAUGAUUAAUAUUUUUUGAAUAAUAUUAAGUUAUAGGUUUUCUAUGUGUUUUUAGUUUUAAUUUUUUAGUAUUUAAAUAUUUUAUUAAAAUAUGUUUUCGGAUAACAACACAAAAUAUAUAGGAAAUAUCUUUUAUUUUAAAAUAUAUCUUUCAGAUUUUGGAUAAGUUUUUUAUUAUUAAUAAUAAUUUAUCUAACCAAAUAAUUUUAAAUUCGUUUUUAUGUUUUAGUUAAUUUAUAGAUUUUAUUCAUUAAGGGUAUAAACGAUAUUAAUCACUCUAACUUUUAACGUGAGAGCUCAAUUCUUAAAAUAUAUCUUUCAGAUUUUGGAUAAGUUUUUUUAUUAAUAAUAAUAACUUAUCUAACCAAAUAAUUUUAAAUUCGUCUUUAUGUUUUAGUUAAUUUAUAGAAUUUAUUCAUUAAGGGUAUAAACAAUAUUAAUCACUCUAACUUUUAACGUGAAAGCUCGAUUCUUAAAAUAUAUCUUUCAGAUUUUGGAUAAGUUAAUUUAUUAUUAAUAAUAACUUAUCUAACCAAAUAAUUUUAAAUUCGUUUUUAUGUUUUAGCUAAUUUAUAGAUUUUAUUCAUUAAGGGUAUAAACAAUAUUAAUCACUCUAACUUUUAACGUGAAAGCUCGAUUCUUAAAAUAUAUCUUUCAGAUAUUGGAUAAGUUUUUUUAUUAUUAAUAAUAACUUAUCUAACCAAAUAAUUUUAAAUUCGUUUUUAUGUUUUAGUUAAUUUAUAAAUUUUAUUCAUUAAGGGUAUAAACGAUAUUAACCACUCUAACUUUUAACGUAAGAGCUCGAUUCCAAAAAUUUACUUCGCAAAUAAUAGUAUAGAUGAUAAUUGUGGUAAUUAAUAUAUAUUCUUUCUUGAUACGAUGAGUGCAUAAAAAUAGGAAAAAAAACUUUGGAUGUUGUUUUUUUUCUCGAAUAAAGAAUAUUUAGUUAUGAUUUAUUGUAAUUAAUAUUGCGUGGAAGUAGGAAUCGUUAUUUGAAUGGAUACUAACAAACAUAAUAAAGAAUUUUUAAAAAGUUAUAAAUUCGGUAAACCAAAAAAAUCGACAAACCAUAUCUUCAUUAGAUCAAUAUGUACAAUGUCGAUAUGCACAAUCAAAACCAAUCUAGACAAUGUUAAUUUGACUUCAUCAUAUUGUGCUUAAGAAGUCGUUGAUGUGAAGAUUGUUGUCUAUCAUUGUUUGGCUAUGAAUAAACAUGAACUAAUCCUCUAUAUAUUAUUUGAGAAACAUCGCAACAUUUUUUGUAGCUACGUGUCAUCGUUAGAAUGAUUCUUAGAAUUCUUAGAGAAAUAGGUUGGUCCAUCUAAAUAUAUAAUAAGCUUUUUAUUAAACCCCAAUAAAUACAUUAUUAAUGUGCUUCAUUAUUUCCUUAAAUAAGAUUACGGAAUUGUCUAAUGUGGCUAAAGUAUAUAUGACAAUUAAUGAUUUUGAAUAAUAAAGAUUUGAUAAAAAUAAGUGUGUAUUAUAAUUAUAUUUGUUUAAUUUUAAGCUAUUAAAAUAAAUUAAACAAUCAUAGUAACCAUAAAAUAAAAAUUAAAAAAAAUUAUUUAUAUAAUAUAUUUUGAAUUUUUAAAAGCGAGUAUAAAUUACUAAAACUGUUAAAAGUUUCACAUUCAAAUUUUGUGAUCUAUAAUUUAAAAAAUUUGUUAUGACAUGAUACAAAUAAUUUAAAAAUAAUAUCAGUUGAAAGUCUCAUUUAAUAAAUAUCAAAAAUAAAAGAUAUAUAAAUAUAUGUAUCAUUUUAAAUUAAGCUAUAUGCCAUAUAAAAAUACAUAAAUAUCUUAAUUUUGAAAUUUAUUUUGAACAUUUUUUUGAUAAAAAAUUUGAAAAAAUAUUGACAAUUUAAUUUUUUAAAAUAUUAUAAAUUAUUUAAAACAUUAAUCCCACAGUGAAAAUUUUGGUAUCACUAAUUUAGACUUUUUGCUAUAACAGAUACAAAUGAUAAAAAAAAUGAGCAAAAAUCAUCAUCUAAUAAAUAUUAAUAUUAAAAUAUAUCAUAUAUAUGUUACUAUCAUUUAAAUUUAAUUAUAUAUCAUAUCAAAUAGAAAAAAUAUUUUUUCGAUUUAUAAAAUUUAUUUAUAUGUUCGCACCAAUUUAAUUAUAUAAGUAGUAGAUAAUGACUUUUUAAUUAUUCAAUAUAUAUUUAUUAUUUCAUAAUAUGUUAUAAACAUAUAAUAUAUAAAAUAAUUUUUAUAUAUAAUGUUCAUCCCGCGCAUUGCGCGGGAUCUUAACCUAGUCUAAAUUAUAAAUGGCAUGAUCAUAGGUUUACGACUGGUCAUAUAUAUGUUUACAAGAGUAUUGGUUUUGAAUAAUAUAAGCAUAUGUGCCGGUCAAACUUAAUUAAAUAGAUUAUAUACCGGACUGAAUGGUCUAAUAACGAUUUAUAGGAAAUUAAUGGAUUAGCAAAUAUGUUUGUGUUUUGAUCAGUGGCAAUCUUGGUUUUAAAUUGCGUAUGGCGAGGCUUGGCGUCCAGGAGGUCGAUUCUCGCCAGGCGCCAUGGCGACUCAUUGCGUUCGCUACGUGUAUCACACGACUAGAAAGUAACUUUAUACACUUUACACUGUCAAGUAUGUUGUACUUAGAUAAAGACACGAUAAAUAUAAAACCAAAACAUCUUUUAUUGAUAAUGUAGAGAACAUCUAAAGCCAAAAUAACAUAUCAUAAGUAGAAAACCAAAACCAAAACACCAAAACGAAGCAUAAUUCAAAACCAAAACGGUUCAUAAUUCAAAGUAAAAAAAAAACAAAACACCAAAACUAAAACACCAACUCUAAAACUCUGUUUCAGAGUCAUCUUGGAACUCCAAUUCCUCCCCUUGACCGAAGCCAUUUGCUUCCAAAUCAUGUUCCAGUUCAUCAUCAUCGACAUCAACAAGAGACAGAUUAGAAGGACCUGGACCAUAUCGUUCCUGUCUUGGCUGAGUUGAAGAAGAGGCAACUCCUUUCCCCUUGUCUGCUGCUGCUGAGCUUUUUGAUCCUCUAGUAGUGUAGUUAGGUUCCUCAGCUCUUGUUGCUUCACUCACUGCACUCCAUGUCAGAUCUUCAUCCUCAAAGACAUUAUCAUCUAGAUCAUCACUAUCAGAGUUUCCUUCCAUUCUUCCCAUCAGCCAUUCAUUGCUUUCAUCAAUCUCUUCUAAGAGAAUAGGAUCAGUGCUAUCACUUCUCUUCAUGCGACGUUGCAAGGCUCGGUUGUACUUGACAAACACCAUGUCAUUCAACCGAUGUUGAGCUAAACGGUUCCUUCUCUUUGUGUGAAGCUACAGAAAUUUGAAUAACAAUAAUUAAUGAACUUCAUAAACAAUCUGAUUAUGAAAUAAGUUGAAUAUAAAAAACUUACAAGUUCAAAAACACCCCAAUUCCUUUCACAUCCAGAGGCACUGCAAGUUAGGCUUAGUACUUUCACAGCAAAGUCUCUUAGAUUAGGAGCUGAUGAUCCAUAAGUAGACCACCAAUCAGCUAUAAACAAACACAAAUGAGACUCAAUUAGUUUAGACUUUAGAAUUGACAAUAAGAAAAAAAGCUAAACGUCUUAAAAUAAUUUACCUGGUGCUUUCAUCUCCCUUUGCCUUAUUGCCAUGUUAUGCCCAAAGAGACCAGCAGCCUUUUAAAACAAAUCAAGCUCCAGCAUCACCUUAUCUUGAAUCUCACCAUCCGGGACAAGCCUGUUGAUACAGUUGUACAAACCAGUCUCAACUUCUUCACAGCACACGUCUUCAGGAUUGGCAUAGUGGAUAGCUGGAUUAAGGAAGUAUCCAGCUGCGUGAAGAGGCUGAUGAAGCUGACAAUUCCACCUUCUAUCAAUGAUCUCAAACACAUUCUCAUAUUUCUCUUGCUUCAUCUUGAAACUCCUUGCAAUAGCCUCUUUAGCUCUGUCCAUAGCAGCAUAUAUGUAUACCAUAGCCGGUUUGGUGUCUCCAUCCACCAUCCCAAGCACCUUAAUGACAUCUUGCAUAUUUGCAUUGUUUUAUCCAUUCAUUCAUAAACAUUUUCAUCAUAUAGAUUAGGAUUUAGACAUGUUUAGGUUGCAUUUUGCAUACAUGAGUCUCUAUUAGGUACUGGAGUACCACAUGAGGUUAUUUGGAGCUCAAAAGUGGUGAAAAGGUGACCAUUGGACGAACCGAGCAUGGGAGCGACCUCCCGGAGCGACAUCACGAAGUCGCUGUGUCCCACUUCUCAGAGCGACCUUCCUAAAGCGACGCCAUGAAGUCGUUCGCGUUCUCAUUACUCCGAACAGUCUUAGAUGACCCUGGAGCGACCUCUCAGAGCGACCUACCAAGGUCGCUCCCGAUCCAGAGCGACCCGUUGGAGCGACACACCAAAGUCACUCGCGACCUCUCGCCCGGAGACACCAAAAAUCGGCCCUGGAGCGACUUCCCGGAGCGACACCUGCAAGUCGCUCCGCGUUAUUUUGCUGCCGAAAUAACCUAUGUUUUGCACUUUCCACCUUCUAUCAAUGAUCUCAAACACAUUCUCAUAUUUCUCUUGCUUCAUCUUGAAACUCCUUGCAAUAGCCUCUUUAGCUCUGUCCAUAGCAGCAUAUAUGUAUACCAUAGCCGGUUUGGUGUCUCCAUCCACCAUCCCAAGCACCUUAAUGACAUCUUGCAUAUUUGCAUUGUUUUAUCCAUUCAUUCAUAAACAUUUUCAUCAUAUAGAUUAGGAUUUAGACAUGUUUAGGUUGCAUUUUGCAUACAUGAGUCUCUAUUAGGUACUGGAGUACCACAUGAGGUUAUUUGGAGCUCAAAAGUGGUGAAAAGGUGACCAUUGGACGAACCGAGCAUGGGAGCGACCUCCCGGAGCGACAUCACGAAGUCGCUGUGUCCCACUUCUCAGAGCGACCUUCCUAAAGCGACGCCAUGAAGUCGCUCGCGUUCUCAUUACUCCGAACAGUCUUAGAUGACCCUGGAGCGACCUCUCAGAGCGACCUACCAAGGUCGCUCCCGAUCCAGAGCGACCCGUUGGAGCGACACACCAAAGUCGCUCGCGACCUCUCGCCCGGAGACACCAAAAAUCGGCCCUGGAGCGACUUCCCGGAGCGACACCUGCAAGUCGCUCCGCGUUAUUUUGCUGCCGAAAAUCACGAUUUCUUAAGGACCUUUUUGCAAUUUAUUUUGGACGUUUUGCACUUGGAAAAACCUAUGUUUUAAACAUCUUUUGUAGCCACCAGUGGCAGAUUAUCUUUUAUCUUUUGAUCUAUUGAGAAAGACACAAGAACUCUCUUGAGAAGUUCAUCUCUUGGAUUUUGAUUGUUAUGUUCUUGUGUUCUUGUUGAUUUCUUAUCUAUUUCUUUACAUGAUUAAUCUGAAAUCCAAUAUGGGUUUAAGAGGAAUCAUGGAGAUUAGUGAGUAAUCACCUUUUGAAUUCAUGGGUUAGGGAGAUUAAGGGUGAUUAGGUUAGAGCUAGGAUGUUUUAGUGUAGAUCAUUCAUAUUUCCUUGCUAGUAGAGUAAUCAUAAUGCAUCUUCUGAGUUGGCCACUCAGUUGUUGAUCCUUAGGCAUUUCUCACCCGAAAGGUGUUCGAUGAAAUGCCCGAGACAACUCUCCUAGGCUUUUAGUAUACUUUGCCAAAGACAUUUGUUGUUAAAGAUGCUAAGAUAGCUAAUAGACUUGUUAGUAAUGAUUGCUUUCAUAUUAUUCAACCAAAGACAUUUGAUGUUUGAGAUAUGUUAGCAAAUGAGCAUUCAUCUAGACAUAGAGCUUGUUUAGAAUUGUGUCUAGGCUUAAGGUUGAUUGUUUGAUUGAUCAUUUGCCAUCCUUAGUUCGAUACUUGAUCACCCAAGGUCUAAUCCCUAUGCCCAUGAGUUCUCUUUUCCCUUAGUCAAGAAAGUAUCAUUCUGUUAUUGCUUUCUAGUUUUAGUCAUAGCUUAAAACCCAUCUAAAUCAUUGGUUGCACUUAGAUUAAGUGAGUACUUGCAUUCUCAGUGCUUUGAUAUCCCUCAGAACUGGUUCGACAAUCACUAUACUACAACAUUUGUCUUAGGAGCCUUGAAAACUCCUAACAUCAAAUUGGCGCCGUUGCCAAAUUCUGAGUAGAUUUAAACAUUGAGAUUUAGUCACUUGCUUGAGACUAAGUCAUUUUAAUUUUCUUUUGUUACUGAUUCUUCUUCUUCACCUACCUUUCACUUUCAGGUGUAUGAACUUGAGGAGCAGGGGUCCAUCAAACCUAGUUCCAAUAGUAGCAGACAUCAGAGCUUUUGAGAGGGAGUGUGCUAGAGCUAGAAGAGAAGAAGAACAACAAGCCCACUUGCAGAGAUUCGAUAUUGAUAUGGCAGAUCCACCGCAAGGGGCAGAACACCAACCGCGGGCAGCUCGACCCAUUGGUACUUAUGACCGGCCCAACAUUCAUGGUCAUAGACUGGGAAUCCGAGCACCGGCUGUGGCAGCCAACAACUUUGAGGUCAAGUCAGGACUCCUCAACGUGAUCGAGAACAACAAAUAUCAUGGCUUGGCUUUAGAGGACCCAUUCGAUCACUUGGACAGGUUCGACAGCUACUGUGGGUUGUCAAAAACCAAUGGUGUGUCAGAGGAUGCCUUAAAGCUGAAGUUAUUCCCUUUCUCUUUGGGGGAUAAGGCACGUCAGUGGGAGAAGUCUCUACCCAGCGACUCUAUCACUACUUGGGAUGAGUGCAAGAGAGCAUUCUUGGAGAAAUUCUUCUCAUCCUCAAGAACUGCUAAGCUGAGAAAUGAGAUCUCCAGUUUCCAACAGAAGAACUUGGAAGGAUUCAGUGAAGCCUGGGAGAGAUUCAAGGGCUACCAAGCUCAAUGCCCACACCAUGGUUUCUCUAAGGAGAGCUUGCUGAGCACAUUCUACCGUGGUGCUCUUCCUAAGUACAGGGCCAGACUGGAUACAGCUAGCAAUGGGUUCUUCUUGGGGAGAACUGAGGAAGAUGCAGAGGAGCUGGUUGACAACAUGGUAAAGAGUGAUGCAGUCUACAGUGGAGACCACGACAGAAGCAGUCGAACAGAUGAUAAGCAGACGAGGAAGGAGUUGAAAGCUCUACAGGAUAAGAUAGACAUCCUCCUUGCUGAUAAAGCCACACAAGAGCAGCUGCACUUUGUUGGUAACCCAAGCCAAGAUACACCACCUGUUGUCCAUGAGGUUGAGGGUUUGGAAGGUCAGGAAGAGCUGUGUUUCAUCAACAACAAUGGUAGCUGGUACAAAAAAGAGCCCAACUUUCAGUACAACAACUACCAACAGAAAUCCUAUCCCAACAACCAACAGAGUGGUUAUCCGCCUCGAAACAACCAGCAAGGCAGCUAUCAACCUCAGCAAAACCCCUCAUCUGGUUCCUCUGCUCCUCAAGAGAGCAGCACUGACACCCUGCUGAAACAAAUCUUGGAGUCUCAGACUAGAAGUGAGAAGCAUGUUGGUUAUGAGUUGAAGAACCUUCAUUCCAAGAUUGAUGGGAGCUACAAUGAGCUCAACAACAAGUUCUCACAUCUUGCUUCUACAGUCAAGAAUUUAGAGAAUCAGUUUGCUUCCAUGAACACUCACCAGACUCGCCAGCAAGGAUCUCUACCUGGAAAAUCUGACCAAAACCCCAAGGAGGCCAAAGCUAUCACCCUUAGGAGUGGUAAGCAGUUACCUCCUACAACCCUCACCAGGGAUGCUGAGAAACUAGGUGAGGAGGUGGCCAUCAACUUAGAUGAUGAAGUGGUGAUUGUUGAUGAGAAAAUCAAUGAUGAAAUCUUGGAGAAGAUUGUGGAAGCCAAGGGUAAAGGAAAGGUUGGGGAAGAGAAGAAAACAGUGAAAGAUGGUGAAGUUCUUGCUCCAGCAAGUGAGAAUUCUUUUGUUCCUCCUCCCUAUGAACCCAAACUACCAUUCCCUGGUAGAUUCAAGAGGCAGCUGCUAGAGAAGUACAAGGCUUUGUUUGACAAGCAAAUGAGUGAAGCUCAGGUUGCAAUGCCCAUCAUCGAUGCUUUCAUGUUGAUUCCUCAAUACAACAAGUUCCUGAAAGAUGUUGUAGCUGCAAAGAAGAAGGAAAUGGAAAGCAUGAUGAUUCUUACCCAUGAGUGCAGUGCCAUCAUCCAAAGGCUUGAUGUUCCAGAGAAGUUAGAGGAUCCAGGAUGCUUCACACUACCUUGUGCUCUUGGACCUAUGGUAUUUGAGAAAUGUCUCUGCGAUUUGGGAGCUAGUGUCAGCGUGAUGCCUUUGUCUGUUGCAAAGAAGCUUGGAUUCACUCAGUACAAGAAGUGUAAACUCUCUCUGGUGUUAGCUGAUCGUUCAGUGAAGUACCCUGUGGGCAUCUUAGAGGACCUACCUGUGAAGAUUGGAAGGUAUGAGAUACCUACAGAUUUUGUGGUGCUUGAGAUGGGUGAGGAGGCUCAAGACCCAUUGAUUCUUGGAAGGCCAUUCUUAGCUACAGCAGGAGCAAUUGUUAAGGUGAAAGAGGGCACGAUUGAUCUCCAUUUGGGUAAAGGGCAUGUUCUCCACUUUGACAUCAAGGAGAAAAUGAAGAAACCAACUGUGUUCGGGCAAGCCUUCUACAUUGAAGAGAUGGGCACUCUUGCUGAUGAGCACCUUGAAGAGUUACCACCUGAGGACGACGAGGAGGGAGCAUCUCCCUCUACUCAUUCUCCAUAGAAGGUAACCCACUACUUUCCCUUGUAUAUACCAUUUCGUUUUUGCAUAUUAGUUUUCUCUUUUUGGGUAUCUCUCUCUCCUUGACAACACAGAGACUGUGUCAUUUAAGUUUGGGGGAGGUACCAAGUAUUUGAUCACGUUUGCUUUGAUGAUUUUGAGUCUCAUGCAUUGCAUUAUACAUAUAUAUUUGCAUAAAAAAAAAAUUCAUUUAGUUUGCAUCAUUGGCAUUUCUAGGAGAGUCUAGAGCAUAUAGGUUGCAUUUACUUGCAUUGGGAGCAAUGAUUUGAAAUGCCUUGUAAAGAACAUUACUUUGCACCUGAAUAGCUUAUGCACCUCUCAAAAACACUUGUAUGCUUCGAGCCUUGAAGACUCUUCCUGAAACUUGUUGAUUGCUGAAACUCAGUCUUUGAAGCCAACUACAACCUUAUUUGAACUGAACGAACUUAAUGCUUCUUGCUCAUGGUCCCUUGUGUACUGAGUCAUGGCUAUACACACUUGAGUUGUCACAUCCUUUAUGCCAAUCUUAUUUUGACAAACUCUAGUGGUAGACCACUCCCAAAACCUUUCCCUCCUUUUAAGCUUUCAUUGUUUGAUGAGUGAGGCCUUUUUCGGAAAGUCUUACAUGUGCAUAAUGUUGAGAGUAUCGGGAACGACAAUGCUUGAUCUUCAUUCUUGCUAGAUUGGGCACUCUAUUGUCUAGCUAUAGGUGGGGGUGAGUGUUGUGAUUAUGAUUUGGGAGAAAUGAAAAAGAAAAAGAAUAGACUCUUUGUGCUUAAGUGAAUUGUUUUAUUGGGAUAAGUAGAGAAGCUUCUAGCUCAAGUUUUGAAAGUCUUGGCCCCCAACCUAAAAAAAAAAAAAAGAGAAAAGAAAAAGAAAAAGAAAAAAAAAAGAAAAAGGGGCUAUCAAAGUUGUUAGGAGCUAAGAAAUAUUUUGAGGUUCUGAAAAAAUCCCUUGUAGAUUUCAAAGAGAAGGAGUUAAAGUUUUUAGGAUCUUUUGGUGAGAGAUGUGAGUUGGGUUUGACAUUUGGGAAUGAUUGUGUAAUUGUAUGUUUGGGAAAAGGGUAGAACAAUGGAGAUUGAGCAUUGUAUGCAUGAGUUGAUCCCUUUCUUAGAUAUAUUAUGUGCAAUGUCAAGGCUACUUGUUUUGAGAGUAAACCACCUUAAAGAUCAUAUGUUUUGAACCUCUUGAAUCACUUGAANNNNNNNNNNNNNNNNNNNNNNNNNNNNNNNNNNNNNNNNNNNNNNNNNNNNNNNNNNNNNNNNNNNNNNNNNNNNNNNNNNNNNNNNNNNNNNNNNNNNNNNNNNNNNNNNNNNNNNNNNNNNNNNNNNNNNNNNNNNNNNNNNNNNNNNNNNNNNNNNNNNNNNNNNNNNNNNNNNNNNNNNNNNNNNNNNNNNNNNNNNNNNNNNNNNNNNNNNNNNNNNNNNNNNNNNNNNNNNNNNNNNNNNNNNNNNNNNNNNNNNNNNNNNNNNNNNNNNNNNNNNNNNNNNNNNNNNNNNNNNNNNNNNNNNNNNNNNNNNNNNNNNNNNNNNNNNNNNNNNNNNNNNNNNNNNNNNNNNNNNNNNNNNNNNNNNNNNNNNNNNNNNNNNNNNNNNNNNNNNNNNNNNNNNNNNNNNNNNNNNNNNNNNNNNNNNNNNNNNNNNNNNNNNNNNNNNNNNNNNNNNNNNNNNNNNNNNNNNNNNNNNNNNNNNNNNNNNNNNNNNNNNNNNNNNNNNNNNNNNNNNNNNNNNNNNNNNNNNNNNNNNNNNNNNNNNNNNNNNNNNNNNNNNNNNNNNNNNNNNNNNNNNNNNNNNNNNNNNNNNNNNNNNNNNNNNNNNNNNNNNNNNNNNNNNNNNNNNNNNNNNNNNNNNNNNNNNNNNNNNNNNNNNNNNNNNNNNNNNNNNNNNNNNNNNNNNNNNNNNNNNNNNNNNNNNNNNNNNNNNNNNNNNNNNNNNNNNNNNNNNNNNNNNNNNNNNNNNNNNNNNNNNNNNNNNNNNNNNNNNNNNNNNNNNNNNNNNNNNNNNNNNNNNNNNNNNNNNNNNNNNNNNNNNNNNNNNNNNNNNNNNNNNNNNNNNNNNNNNNNNNNNNNNNNNNNNNNNNNNNNNNNNNNNNNNNNNNNNNNNNNNNNNNNNNNNNNNNNNNNNNNNNNNNNNNNNNNNNNNNNNNNNNNUUGUAUGUUUGGGAAAAGGGUAGAACAAUGGAGAUUGAGCAUUGUAUGCAUGAGUUGAUCCCUUUCUUAGAUAUAUUAUGUGCAAUGUCAAGGCUACUUGUUUCGAGAGUAAACCACCUUAAAGAUCAUAUGUUUUGAACCUCUUGAAUCACUUGAAUAAAAGCCUUCCCUUACCCAACCAAAUGACUUGGACCAACUGACCAUUUGCAAGAAUUCACCUGAUGUUUUGUGCUUAAUGAAUGUGAGAGUUGGUUGAUUUGAAUGUGUGGAUGCUUGAUGAUGAGUGUAAAGGCAGAAUGAGUUGAGAUAGGCCUAGAGAAGCUAGAGUGUGAUAAGAGAGUGAGCUCAUGUUAGAUUAGAUGUUGAAUUGAGUGCUAGUUGUGUUCCUUUUGGCUAUGAGCUCUCUCCCUAUGAGUUUUAGAAAGUUCACUUGCAGACAAGUAAAGGACUAGUGUGGGGGAGUUGAUAUCUUGCAUAUUUGCAUUGUUUUAUCCAUUCAUUCAUAAACAUUUUCAUCAUAUUGAUUAGGAUUUAGACAUGUUUAGGUUGCAUUUUGCAUACAUGAGUCUCUAUUAGGUACUGGAGUACCACAUGAGGUUAUUUGGAGCUCAAAAGAGGUGAAAAGUGACCAUUGGACGAACCGAGCAUGGGAGCGAUCUCCCGGAGCGACAUCACGAAGUCGCUGUGUCCCACUUCUCAGAGCGACCUUCCUAAAGCGACACCAUGAAGUCGCCCGCGUUCUCAUUACUCCGAACAGUCUUAGAUGACCCUGGAGCGACCUCUCAGAGCGACCUACCAAGGUCGCUCCCGAUCCAGAGCGACCCGUUGGAGCGACUGCACAAAGUCGCUCGCGUUUUCACGUCCGGAGACACACAACUCGCUCUCGGAGCGACCUCUCGCAGCGACCCAGCGAGGUCGCUCCCGAAGCUUGGAGCGACCUGUCCAGAGCGACAGGGAGAAGUCGCUCGCCAUCUUGGUUCCCGGAGACAAGAAAUCGCUCUCGGAGCGACCUCUCGCAGCGACCCAGCGAGGUCGCUCCCGAAGCCUGGAGCGACUUGUCGGAGCGACGAGCCGAGGUCGCUCCGCGUUUUGGUUUCUGCUCGAACUUGUGAUUUUUCAAGGGCAUUUUGGUCAUUUCAUUAUGCACGUUUUUAUUUUCUAAACCUAUGUUUUAUUACUCUGUAAGCCACCAGGAGGCAGAUCAUCUUUGUUCUUAGAAAAACCACCAAAAACCUUUGGAAAGGGAUCUCUUUGAAUGAAUUGAUCAGUUUAUUAUUGAGAAUUCUGUGUUCUUAUCUAUUUCCUGUGUUUCUCUACAUGAUUAAUCUGAAAUCCAAUAUGGGUUUAAGAGGAAUCAUGGAGAUUAGUGAGUAAUCACCUUUUGAAUUCAUGGGUUAGGGAGAUUAAGGGUGAUUAGGUUAGAUCUAGGAUGUUUUAGUGUAGAUCAUUCAUAUUUCCUUGCUAGUAGAGUAAUCAUAAUGCAUCUUCUGAGUUGGCCACUCAGUUGUUGAUCCUUAGGCAUUUCUCACCCGAAAGGUGUUCGAUGAAAUGCCCGAGACAACUCUCCUAGGCUUUUAGUAUACUUUGCCAAAGACAUUUGUUGUUAAAGGUGCUAAGAUAGCUAAUAGACUUGUUAGUAAUGAUUGCUUUCAUAUUAUUCAACCAAAGACAUUUGAUGUUUGAGAUAUGUUAGCAAAUGAGCAUUCAUCUAGACAUAGAGCUUGCUUAGAAUUGUGUCUAGGCUUAAGGUCGAUAGUUUGAUCGAUCAUUUGCCAUCCUUAGUUCGAUACUUGAUCACCCAAGGUCUAAUCCCUAUGCCCAUGAGUUCUCUUUUCCCUUAGUCAAGAAAGUAUCAUUCUGUUAUUGCUUUUUAGUUUUAGUCAUAGCUUAAAACCCAUCUAAAUCAUUGGUUGCACUUAGAUUAAGUGAGUACUUGCAUUCUUGGUGCUUUGAUAUCCCUCAGAACUGGUUCGACAAUCAUUUAUACUACAACAUUUGUCUUAGGAGCCUUGAAAACUCCUAACAUCACUUAACUAGUGGACCAUUCAGCUUGAGAGCAUAAGCAACAUUCCUCCAGAAGCUUUCUUGUAGAAUGUACUGCUUCAUCUUCUUCGCCUCUGCUUCCUUUGGCCAUUUGCUCUUGUUCCAAUCAUCAGACGUGACCAUCUUCUUCAAGUUGGCCUGUUGAAUGUGAAACUGAGACAUGGUAAUGAAUGAAGUAGCAAACCGUGUUACAGCUGGUCGAUGGAGAUUGUGUUGAUUGGUGAAUCUUCUCAUCAUGUUGACAAGAGGCACACGACAGUAAAUGUAACCACUCAUGAAGAUACACUUCUGCAAAGCAUUCUUCACAGGUUCCAGCUUCCCAAUGUCUUCUAGCAUAAGAUCAAGACAGUGUGCUGCACAAGGAGUCCAGUAGAGGUUUGGCCUUUUAGCCUCAAGCAAUUUCCCUGCAAUUCAAUUAAACUCUCAUCAUUAAAUUUUAUCACCUUUAUGAAAGUAAAAAACAAGGUCGUAGAAGAGAUUUUACCAGCUUUUACGUAGUUAGAAGCAUUGUCUGUGAUCAUUUGAACAACAUUCUUCUCACCAACCUCUUCAACCAUCUCAUCAAGCAGUUUGAACAGCAGUGUUGCAUCCUUCACAACUUCAGAGACUUCUUUAGACUUCAUGAAAACAGAGCCCUUAGGAGAGUUAACUAAAAAGUUAACUAUGUCCUUUUGGACCACUGAGUCACGCCAUCCAUCUGACAUUAGAGAACAUCCCUUAGAAGCCCACUCAUUCUUGUGUUGAAGAAGCAUAGUGUGAGUCUCGGCAACUUCCCUCUGAAGAAGAGGAACUCUUAGCUCAUGCAUACUAGGUGGUUUUAAGCCCAUUCCAUACUGCGCAAUCAAAUGUGUCAUCUCUUUGAAAGAGUCAUAGGUGACAACGUUAAAUGCAAUGCAUGCAUCAUAAAACCAUCUCGCGAUUCCAGCACAAGUCUUGUCCCUCAGAUCUUUGUCACAAGCUCCCAAUACACGCUUCAUUUCAUUCCUUCCUUUCAAAAUAUCAGGAGGAGUUGACGUGACAAACCUGUCCAAGAAGAGAGAACAUGUAGUUAAACUCUUGUUCCAAUAGUCUAGCAAAACGAGAAUAUAAAUUACAAACCUGUCCAAUAGACCUCUCUUCUUCCUCUUGUUAGGGUUAGCUUUCUGUUUAGGCUCAACUUCCACAUCGGCCUCACCAUCAUUGAGGACAGGUUCAUAGCGCAAGCUCUGAGCAGCUCUUUCCUCAGCUUUUUUGAUUGCAUCGUUUUGCAACUCAGCUCUCACAUGCUCUGGACAAUUAGGACACACCGUGACACUUGUGUUACCUCCAACCAAGUGGUGUUUCAGACGUGAGAUGCCUCCAUUAGUUACCUUCAUGCAGAAGAUACACUUCCAUUUGUUGGUGUUAUUUGAGACACACGUUCCAUACUUCCUUCCUGGAUCCAUCUGAGAUGCUCCUUGCUGAGAUGAUCCACCUUGUGUAGCACCUCUUUGGGGUGAUCUUCCAAUCUCAGACAUGAUGAAACUUCAAUGAGAAAACAGAGAAUGUACGUUAGUAAUCACGUAGACUUAAAAAAACAGAGAGGAAAAGCUAAACAAGUACUUGAUAAAAUGAUGAUAAUCAAUUAACACUAUGACACUGAUACGGUGAUGCAUGAUCAACUGAUACGGUGAUGCGUGAUCUUAAAAAAUAGUUGAUAAACAUGAUGUGAUAAACUUAGCACGUAAACUACCAAAAAGGAUGAAUGGAUGGUACAUGGAAAAAACAAAAGACGUAAACACUAUAACUAUGAACCUAUGCUAAAGAGAUCUUUGCUUAAUUAAAGAAGUAUGAUGAAAACCAAGCGAAACAAACCAGUAAAAGAAAAGAAAGCUUAUGCUGUGUAUAGAGUUGAGAAGAAAGCAUGAAGAACUAUAGAGGCUGUGUGUACCUAUUAUAUAGUACAAUGACUUAGGGUUUUUGAGUAUUUAGAGAAUAUUUAGAGAAUAUUUAGAGUAUAUUUUGAGUAUUACAAUAUUGCCUCUUUUACAUAACCAUAUUCGGUUUAGAUACCAAAACUAUGUCAAAACAGUUUAGGUUGUUUCCUAACCAUGAGGCGACGCCUUGGUCAACACGUUCUAUGUAGGUAAAGCGAGCUAAGUCGUUCGCCAUACGUACCUCGCUUGGCCACAAGUUGGUAAGGCAUUUUGGAGCUCGCCAGAGGUCGCCAAGCGCCAUGGCGCCGGUGGCGCUCGCCAUUUAAAACCAAGGUGGCAAUCACUUGUAAUCAUUGAGGAAAACUCAGGGCUAAGUACAAAAUGUACUCCUGUUUUAAUAGUUUAGAUGGUAAACUAUUGUGUUCAUUUUCAUAUUGCAGGGUUUGGAGUGCACAAUUGAAAGUUCAAGGAUGAAAUUGGGGACUAAUAUGCACAUUUAAUACUAUGGGGCCAGAAUGAAAAGAAUCAAAAAGCGACAGACCAUUUAUGAAAAUACACAGAAAGGCCAGAUUGCAACAUUAUAAAAUAUUGGGGUAAAUUUGUGAAGUAGUUUGAUAAGAUUAGAAGUUUGAGGCAUAUUGUGAAAAAAACAGGAAACUAGAGGACCAAAAGUGCAAAAAGGUGAUACUUCCCAUUAAUGUUGCAGAUUGCACUUCUCGCCGGAUCUCGUUGACGGCAACUGAGAGUCAGCUACGACGGAGCAGAGACACGACUGUGAAGGCUGCGAACAUGAUUUGAAGAUGGAGAGGUCGUGGGCAAGACGUGGAGAAGCUGAUGUUGACGAGACGCGGCGGAUAGCAAUGACCACCGGUGGACGAGACCUCACAUCGACAACAUCUUGGACGGAGGAGCUGAGAACACAGAGAGGAGGAGACAUAAACACCAUGGUUGAAGCUUCAAUCGAUCUCUACCGUUGACAUCGUUGUUUACAUGACCUUUACACCAGCAUUAAAAAUACAGUUUGGCAUAUCUCAAAUAUGAUAUAAAAUAGAAAUAAUAAUUGAUUAAAUUUUUUUUUUUAAAAAAGUUCUGAGAAAACAGAUUUCAUUUUACAAAAAAUGGUUGAGAACUUAAGAUGAAGAAGACGAAGAAAAAAGAGAGGUGGAUUCAUUUUGUUUUAUUUGUUAGUAAGACCUUAUUAUGUUAAAUAAAGUAAAAACAUAUAUUAAAUUUAGUUAAAGUAAUAGACACUUAAAUCUAUGCUAAUUUAGUUAGUUUAUAAUAAGAAAGUGAGUUUGGCUAAACAAAACUACCUUAGUAGCAACAAAUAUGGUUAAUAAAACUUGAAACUGUCUUUGGAAAGGGAAAGUGGAAAUUGAUUCCCAUCAAAUGGGUUAAGUGUAAAUAUGAGAACAAGCAAUUUGACACAAGCAAAUGAGAUAUAAUAAAAGUUUUUCAAAAGCAGGAGAGAAGAUUAUUAUGACUCGAGCUUAGAAAUAGAAGAAGAGACAAUUACACGAUUUCCCCUCUAGUGCCCCCAACACAUUAAUUCAAUUCAAUUGAAACCGAAUCAAUUCAAUUGGAUUUCUCGAAAAAGAAAAUUUAAAAUUAAAAGAAAAUAAAACCCCGCAGCUCGAGGAGGAAAGCUCCUCUACAGCUCCCACCCGAGAAGCUCGUUAUUGUCUCUGGUUCGCAGCUCCCUUACAGCAACUCUGUUAUCGACGUCGAUAGCUACUCCGGCGACGCCGUCGGACCGCAACGUUUCCACUGGCAAGCAUUCUUUUGGAUAGGUCGCAAUGAAGGUUAGUUAUUCUCUCCUUAGCGAGAUGCAAGAUAAAAAUUUGAUUUAGGGUUUGUAAUUGAAAGUGUUGAAACAGCAUUGAUUAUGGGAUGAUUUGGUUGAUUUAUAUAUGAAAUUGUUAUGCAUUGGGGUGCGUGAAUUGUCUUAAUUUUGAGUAGUUGUGCACGAAGAUCUCUCCGAUCAAUCAAUCGUACAUACAUUUGAGUUCUUGUUUAAGCAUUAAGCAUUACUUUGUAUAACUAGGUAUAACAAGUAGAACUGAUAAUUGUUGUAGAGUAGGUAAAACUUGGUAAAACUGUUGACAAGUCGGUAGAACUAAGAACUACGAGUAUAACUAAAACUUUUUUAUUUUGUUCUUGCAGGAUACAAUGAUGAAAUAUGUGAGCGUCUAUUUCAAAUUCAAAGGGGAGAUCUUGAAAACAACAGUGGAGGAUAUAAGUUUGGCAAUACUAGAAGAAAAGUUGUAUAAAAAGCUUGUGUUGGAUGAAAGUAAGGUAAAACUGGCAUUGAAGUGCAUGUCGAUGGUGUAUGGAUCUGAAGAACAGCAAAUUAUUCGUGAUGAUGAUGAUCUGUUUGGUUUCCUAACAACCGUUGAUAAAGACAACCGUAGAUCUCUUUUGUUAGUGGAGGAGAUGAGUAGAUCAUAUCAGUUAGAGAAGGUGUCGAAAGUGGGCAUAAGUUCGUUUGGUAUGAACUACGAAGUGUCGCAGGGAAAUGAUGAUGUUUAUGAUGAAAUCGGACCGAAGGCCAUAGCUCUGUAUGUAGAAAAUGGUCAAGCAAAUCAACAGAAGGAUCCGAUAGAUGCAGAGAAUGAUUUUAUGGAUACAGAGACCGCAGCGGAGACAGACACUGCAGCAGAGACAGACACUGCAGCAGAGACAGACACCGCAGCUGAAACGGACACAGCAGCUGAAACAGACACAUCAGCUGAGACGGACACCGCAGCAGGGACGAACACCGCAUGUGAGACGGGUAUGGCUGCAGAUAAGUAUGUUGGGCAGCCACCGAUAAAAAAAGGUAGUCAGGUUAUAGAGGCCUGGGAAGACGGUUUGGGUCUGUAUAAGCUUCAGGAGUUUCCAAGUAAGAAAGCACUUCAAGAGGUGGUCGAUAGAGCUGCAUUUGGUGAAUGCUUUCGUUAUGUUAUCAAAAAUUUGGACCAAAGACGAUUGGUGUUAAAAUGUUGUGAAGCAGCCUGUAAGUGGAGUUUUCGAGCUGCAAAGAUUUCAGAGACUGAAAUUUUUUCAGUUAGGAGGUACACGGGUGUGCAUACAUGCUCUCGGUCUAAUCAAAGUAAAAGCAGCAACAUCAAGAUAAAAGGCUCAGCAGAAUUAGUUGCAACUUUUCUGAAUGAGGAAUAUCCUAGAAAACUAAGUACUCCUGUUCCGAAAGAUAUCAUGGAUCUUAUAAAGUUAAAACUUGGUGUAACAGUAUCCUACUCCACAGCCUUGAGAGGGAAAAUCUAGCUAUUUCUGAGUUGCGUGGUGGUUCGGAAGAGAGCUACAAGAUGCUAUAUAGCUACUUGUAUAUGUUAGAGCAGGUCAAUCCGGGAACAAAAACAGGAGUGAAGUUGGAUGAGGUAAAUAAGUUCAAGUACCUCUUCAUAGCUCUGGGAGCUUGUAUUGAAGGUUUUGCAGCCAUGAGGAAGGUGAUAGUUGUCGAUGCCACAUUUCUGAAGAAUGGAUAUGGUGGUGUACUAGUAUUUGCUAAAGCUCAAGAUCCUAAUCGUCACCAUUAUCCGCUUGCGUUUGGUGUACUCGACGGUGAGAAUAAUGCUAGUUGGACAUGGUUUUUCGAGAUGCUCAAAACUGCUAUACCAGACUCUUCUGAAUUAGUAUUUAUGAGUGAUAGAAACCAGAGCCUAAUCGCGGCUGUAGCUAAUGUGUUUCCACAAUCUCACCAUGGCCAUUGUAUAUGGCAUUUGUCUCAGAAUGUGAGAGGGCAUGCUUGUAACACAACCAAAGCCGUAGUCGCAUGGAGAUUUAUGGAGUUGGCUAGGUGUUACACGGUGGCUGAGUUCGAGUCUGCUUACGCAUCUUUUAAGGUGAGAUUUCCUCUAGCGUACAAGUAUUUGGAGGAGCAUACGGAUAAACGCACAUGGGCUCGGGUUUAUUUCCCAGGUGUGAGAUACAACUUGGACACUAGCAACAGUGUGGAGUCAAUGAACAGCAUCUUUAGGGACGCCAGGAGGUAUGCUUUAAUACCAUUGUUGGAUACAAUCAUCAAAACGUUUUCAGACUGGUUCAAUGAACAUCGGAAGGACUCUGUGGCUGGGUCGAUUGAUACCAAACUGGUUCCUCUUGUCGAGAUUCACUUGCAUAACCUAUGGAGCACAGCUGAGAAAACACCAGUGUGUGAGCUUAAUAGUUAUGAGCUUGAGUAUGAGGUAACUGACACUGAAAAUGGGAAGAAUUAUGUUGUGAACUUGAUAGAGAAGAGCUGUAGCUGCAAGGUGUAUGAUUAUGAAAAGUAUUUUUUUCUGCACGGACUUGCUGCUUACUUAUAUUUCCUUGAGGUUGAAGCUGCUCCUGGUCAUCGACGUGAUGUUAAGAUAGAGUAUCAUGAGUUGUGCUCAAAAUAUUACUGGACGGAACUUUGGGCAUUGGCUUAUUACAAGACCAUUUAUUCUGUGCUAGACAGGUGUGAUUGGAAUGUACCAGAUCACAUCAAAGAGCUUCAGAUCAUACCUCAGGAUCGCCUCAAGAGGAAGGGAAGAAAAAACAAUAAGAGGAAUCCAUCUGUUGGGGAACGACGUAAAAGGACACAAAACAUAAGGCGACCAAGGCAAAAUUUCGGUUUCAGUUGGCUGUUGUUUGGAAUGCGUAGUAGUAAUCCCAGUGAAUCAAACUAGAUCUUCUUGUUUGGAUUUUAUUGUUGUUGUGUUGUUUUGGCUUUUGGUAUGUUGCUUUUGGUAUGUUGCUUUUGAAAAAAUUGGUAAAACUAAGUAUAUCUUUUGUGACAUAGACUCGAAAGUUUGAAAGUUCGAAGAAUUCUAUGUUUAAGCGAUCUAACCAUGUAUUAUCUAAGUUUAAGUGUUUGUUUUGCAACCUCUGUUUAAGCGUUUUGGCAGUUAUGUUUAACUGAUUUAUUGGAAAGCCGCGAAAAACUAGUAUAACAAGGUGUAACUAUGAUAUAAAUCGGCAUAAUCCGAAAAAUCCCAACUACAUAAGUCUUAAUACAAAAACACAGAAACACGGUCACCAAAAAUUAUAUAGCAGAUACUGCUUCUCAAAAUACAUUAGUGAAGAUAACAAAUAUUUACAAACCUCAUAAUAAAAAAACUCAUUGUUUCAUGAAAAAUAUAUCAUCGUAUAUAGUCUUUCAAAGAGCACUUUGUUAAUAAGAUCAGCUUAUAAAGAAGUAUUCUAUAGUUUUCAUGAUUUAAAAUAUGUUAUUGCACUAAUCAUUUAUGCUUACAUGGUAACGCAGAAAAAUGACAAGUAAACUUUUUUAGAAAUUAAAAUUAUACGUAAAACUAAAAAAUGUUGAAAUCACGAAAAGUAGAACUAUGAAGAAAAUUGGUAAAACCAGAAACUUCAGUAUAAUUUAGAGCAAAUAUUUCGGAGGGAGAAUAAAAAAAAUUUUCGCGCUUAAACGAAAAAAGCCUAAAUUUCUAAUUAUUUUGGUCAAAAAGUAGAUUCCCUCUGCUCUUUUAUCUGAGUCUCGUCUUUUCCUAUCUUUUCCCAGACACUUUUUCACUUCCCCACCACUCUCUAUUUCAACUCUCUCUCACCAUUCAUACACUCUCUCUUUCCCUUUUACUGAACAUGAGUCAUCCAUAUGAAGAGAUGAAGGAGAUGAAGAAGCUGAAGAAACACUACGACAUGUUGGGGUUCGUUGCCGAUGCCCAAAAUGGAAUUCCCACCUGUUGCCCUUGCGGUGGUGAAAUAAUGACGAAUGUUUCUCCAACUCCGAAGUACAAAUCAGAUUUCGAUACCUUGCCUGGGAGUAGGUACUUCACCUGCAAGAAUUAUGAGGUAAUUUUUCUCCAACUAAGGGAAACUGAGAUAAACUGAGGUUAUACUAUGGGUGAAACUGUGUUAUACUCUAGGUGAAACUGUGUUAUACUCUGGAUAUCUAUGGGUGAAACUGUGUUAUACUCUAGGUGAAACUGUGUUAUACUCUAGAUAUCUAUGGGUGAAACUGUGUUAUCCUAUGGCUGAAACUGUGUUAUGGUGAAACUAACUUCCAGUCUGGUUGAAACUGUGCAGGACGAUGGGUUACACUUUCGUCAGCCAUGGGCUUUUGGUGUUCAGCAAGAAGUGGAGCGCCUAAGGAGGGAGGUGAAAGAGUUGGCUGAAGAUAUUGCUAAGCUUAAGAGGCUCAUUACCUCGACCUCCUGUCCAUGAGAUUCUCGACGUCACAAGUUCUGAGUUCAUGGCUAAAAACUUUGUCUUCCCCACCUAUAUAUUUUUCUUAUUUCGGUUAACACAAGUCUUUGUUUGUUAAGAGAGGACUCUUGUUAAGACUUGUGUACGUUUAUGUGUUCAGUCUUAUGUUAUGUCCAAACUUAUGUUAUGCUAAGCACUCUUAUGUUUAUCAAUUGGUACUCUAUGUUUAGACUUUCAUCAUCAACCAUUAUUCUAAAAAACUAAUUUCCUAGACAUUAUCAAUAGGUAUUCUCUUAAACUAAUUUCCUAGACUUUAUCAAUUGGUACUCUCCUAGACUCUCACUCGACCUACACAAUAAAAGUAAAAGAAUCCACAACAAAGAUCGCAUAUAUAGUCAUAACAUAGUUAAAAGUUCUAAAUCCACAUCACUAACAAGAAACACAUCAAAAGACAUCGUUUGUUUACUUCAUAAAAAACAUAAAACAAAGUUCUAAUACACCAAGCAAGUGAGGCAUCUCUACUUCACUUCUUCCUGCGUUUUUAUUUCUUUGCUUUCUCUUGUGCUGGUGCUUCUUCUUCUGCUGCUUUAGCUUGUGCCUCCUUGACAAACUCCUCAAGCGGGGCCAAUCUCCCAUCCAAUUGGUCAACCUUCUUGUCAACUGUCCUCAUCAGUUUCAACGUUCUUUUCAGCAACUUCAUAACAUCUCCCAGUUGAAUCGACUUCUCACCUGCUUCUAUUUCAUCCCCUCCUGCAGCUUCACUCGCUUCUUCCUUUUUUUGGCGCGCAGCUACAUCCUCGUCGUGCAUGUCUUGAAAAAAUACCUUAUAGCUUGUAUCCAGACACUUCUCCCAACUGUCCACAGCUAUAUCAGAUUCAUCAACAUCGUCUUCAUCUUCCAAAAUGUCAUCCAAGAGCCUUUCUUCUUGUGGAGUUCUGGUGGGGAUGAUGCUGUCGAUAUCAUGUUACAAACACAAUUAAUUUUGAAUCUUAGCAACACACGCCUACCUUAGUGAGACCAUUGUUCUGUUCCUAGUCCUACCUUAGUUCAACCAUAGUUCCAUAUCUAGUCCUACCUUAGUUCUACCCUAGUUCUACCAUAGUUUUACUUUAAUCCUACCACAAUAUAACUCUAGUUCUACCAUAGUAUUACUCUUGUUCUACUUUAGUUCACAGGUAAACUUACGGUUGUGUUAGACAAUUCCUUGUUUAUCGCCGAAAGUGACACCCCUGUCAUUCCAUUUCGUUUGAAUGAGGACUUGCACAUCCUCGGGCAGUUGACAUCAGCUUCUUCAACAGGUUCUUUGAACGCCAAUCCUAGCUUAGGAAUUACCUCGAAUGCAAGAAGCUGUUAAACACAACAUUUAUAAAAUACCAUCAGUAAAUAACAAUAGCAAUCAAGUCAUUAAUGGGAUUUUGCAUACUUCUAGUGGAACACAGAAACCCGUAAGCGGCCAUAAUGUACCCUCUUUCACCACCCCUCAAAAAUGCUUCAUUAUGUGAGAGAUCUCCUUCAUCAUGUAAUCAUAAGAGAAUCUCCCCCAUGGAAAGGACUUACACAAGUCAAGAUCAUCCACUGCUCUCUGGAACACCUCAAACACAUGAUUAGCCUUGUAUCCAACCUUCGUUUGCGCGCAAACAACAUAAGCUAAGAAGAAUAGAACCGCUAUCUUCAGUCUGUCUUUGUGGGGUCCCAUGUUCACUAGCUUCUUCUUAACAACCUCCAACCUUCUAAGUUCUCCUUCCUUGAAAUGUCGAUCAUCGAACUUCGUCCCACCAAGCUUUUACCUUUCUUCUUGUGGAGUUCUGGUGGGGAUGAUGCUGUCGAUAUCAUGUUACAAACACAAUUAAUUUUGAAUCUUAGCAACACACGCCUACCUUAGUGAGACCAUUGUUCUGUUCCUAGUCCUACCUUAGUUCAACCAUAGUUCCAUAUCUAGUCCUACCUUAGUUCUACCCUAGUUCUACCAUAGUUUUACUUUAAUCCUACCACAAUAUAACUCUAGUUCUACCAUAGUAUUACUCUUGUUCUACUUUAGUUCACAGGUAAACUUACGGUUGUGUUAGACAAUUCCUUGUUUAUCGCCGAAAGUGACACCCCUGUCAUUCCAUUUCGUUUGAAUGAGGACUUGCACAUCCUCGGGCAGUUGACAUCAGCUUCUUCAACAGGUUCUUUGAACGCCAAUCCUAGCUUAGGAAUUACCUCGAAUGCAAGAAGCUGUUAAACACAACAUUUAUAAAAUACCAUCAGUAAAUAACAAUAGCAAUCAAGUCAUUAAUGGGAUUUUGCAUACUUCUAGUGGAACACAGAAACCCGUAAGCGGCCAUAAUGUACCCUCUUUCACCACCCCUCAAAAAUGCUUCAUUAUGUGAGAGAUCUCCUUCAUCAUGUAAUCAUAAGAGAAUCUCCCCCAUGGAAAGGACUUACACAAGUCAAGAUCAUCCACUGCUCUCUGGAACACCUCAAACACAUGAUUAGCCUUGUAUCCAACCUUCGUUUGCGCGCAAACAACAUAAGCUAAGAAGAAUAGAACCGCUAUCUUCAGUCUGUCUUUGUGGGGUCCCAUGUUCACUAGCUUCUUCUUAACAACCUCCAACCUUCUAAGUUCUCCUUCCUUGAAAUGUCGAUCAUCGAACUUCGUCCCACCAAGCUUUUAGUAGCCGAGAGGAUAGUUGUGGCAGAAUAGCCCAGAUAUCAAACUGUGUUCCCUCAGUCCAAAACGGAUGGCAACGCCAUUCACAAUGAACCACACUUCUCUCCGCCUCUUGCAACCGGCAGUACGCAGCAACAACAUCCACAUACCACUACCCUAGUUCUACCAUAGUUUUACUUUAAUCCUACCACAAUAUAACUCUAGUUCUACCAUAGUAUUACUCUUGUUCUACUUUAGUUCACAGGUAAACUUACGGUUGUGUUAGACAAUUCCUUGUUUAUCGCCGAAAGUGACACCCCUGUCAUUCCAUUUCGUUUGAAUGAGGACUUGCACAUCCUCGGGCAGUUGACAUCAGCUUCUUCAACAGGUUCUUUGAACGCCAAUCCUAGCUUAGGAAUUACCUCGAAUGCAAGAAGCUGUUAAACACAACAUUUAUAAAAUACCAUCAGUAAAUAACAAUAGCAAUCAAGUCAUUAAUGGGAUUUUGCAUACUUCUAGUGGAACACAGAAACCCGUAAGCGGCCAUAAUGUACCCUCUUUCACCACCCCUCAAAAAUGCUUCAUUAUGUGAGAGAUCUCCUUCAUCAUGUAAUCAUAAGAGAAUCUCCCCCAUGGAAAGGACUUACACAAGUCAAGAUCAUCCACUGCUCUCUGGAACACCUCAAACACAUGAUUAGCCUUGUAUCCAACCUUCGUUUGCGCGCAAACAACAUAAGCUAAGAAGAAUAGAACCGCUAUCUUCAGUCUGUCUUUGUGGGGUCCCAUGUUCACUAGCUUCUUCUUAACAACCUCCAACCUUCUAAGUUCUCCUUCCUUGAAAUGUCGAUCAUCGAACUUCGUCCCACCAAGCUUUUAGUAGCCGAGAGGAUAGUUGUGGCAGAAUAGCCCAGAUAUCAAACUGUGUUCCCUCAGUCCAAAACGGAUGGCAACGCCAUUCACAAUGAACCACACUUCUCUCCGCCUCUUGCAACCGGCAGUACGCAGCAACAACAUCCACAUACCAUGAACCCUGUGGUUGUUCUCGCUUUUCAUGUGGAAAAUGUGUCUGAAUUGAGGAUGCUCUGUGAACGAGUUCCACUCCGCGUUAGACAGCUUCGGUUUCAGAUUGCUUAGCGUCUUACUCGCACUAGCUAUCAUGCACCUCGUCCCUAGAUUUUUUUUUUUUUUGUACUCAGAUGGCUUGAAGAACAUUAUGGUUGGUUUGAUUGCCUCGGGUGCCUCAUUUUCAUCCAAAUCCUGCAAGUUAUAUCCAAGUUAUAUCCAAGUUAUACUAAAGUUAUACUCAAGUUAUACUAAAGUUAUACUAACGCAUACCAAAGUAAUACCAAAACUGACAGUUUUUCCAAUAGUUCUCCUAGUAUUACUAACAUUAACCCACUCAAUUUACUACCUCUCUCGAAUCAUAUGAACUUCAAUUCAAACUCAUUUUUAAUUUGUUACCUGAGGUUCAGGUGGAUUUCCAUUCUCGUUUGCUUCCUCUUCUCCUUCUCCAUUUGCUUGUUCUUCUUCCGAACGUGCAUUCACUUCGUUCUCUCCAUAUGGAGGUUCUUCUUCUGAAUCUUCAUGGUCCUGGUUAGAACUCUCCUUCUCUCCAUCUGGUUUUUCUUGUUCUUCUUCAGAACCCUCAUUCACUUCAUCUCCAGAAGCGGUUUUCUCAUUCACUUCAUCUCCAGAAGCGAUUUCCUCAUUCUCUUCAUCUCCAGAACCGGUUUCCUCAUUCUCUUCAUCUCCAGGACCUUUGUUCAGUGUCGUCGGAGCAGCUUCUGCAACCACAUUAAACGGCUCCGUCAUCUCCGCCGUAUUCUCAGAUGAGUCCUUUCUCGUCUUCUCCGUCGAGACAUCCGUCGUAUGAGUCAUCUCCAUCGAGACAUCCGUCGUCUUUGCCGUCGAUUCAUCCGUCGUCUUUGCCGUCGAUUCAACAACAUCCACCGCCCUCGUUUCACUCUCCUCCAUCGUCGUCUUCUCCACAUUUUCUCCGGAGCCCGUCUUUGCAAACUUCACUCUCGGAGCCUCUUCCUCCGUUGGAUUCUCCUUCCUCUUACCCCGUCGCGUUUCGACCACCAUUGCAAUCGAAAGAUUUCACCGGAUUCUAUCUCGAUUCUCACCGAAUCAAGCUCGAUUUUGGAAACUAUGGUUCUUCUUUCGCUCGUGAGGAAAGAAAGAAAAAGAGGAGAGAAAUAAGUUUUAAACUGAGACAAAUUAGAUCUCCAAAUACAUUGAGAGGGUUUGCUAAAACCGACAGCUUUGGUUUGGUUUUGAGGGAUUGGUUUGUUUGGUUAGUAUGGUUACACGGUUAGACGAUUCGGUUCAAUUGAUUUGCCUAUAUAAGCGGGUUAGGUCGGGGCGGAUGGGUUAUACCCUGGUACAACUUGUAAAUACUUCAACUAUUUUCAGGGUUUUAUGUCAUUUCCGUAUUUUCCGAAUUAAAGAAAAAUUAUUUAUUUUUCUGUUUAUUAGAGUGUCUAAUAGAGAUUGGAUUACCAGAUUUGGAGGCACCAGAAGUGAUGACUCCUCAUAAAAUUGCCUAUUGCGAAAAGAAAAUCGUCUUGCACGAAACAAAAGAUCGAUCUUAGGGCCGAAGAUAUAUUACAAACAAAAGUUUUAAUCAGCAUCUUCCUCUAAAAAAUACUCUCUCUGUUUAAAAAUAGAUGAAGUUUUAAGAUUGUGCACAACUAUUAAGAAAUUUAUUUUUUAUCUUAAAAAUAUUAUUAAAAUUUAAAUUAAAAAAUUAUUCAAUCAAUCACAAAAUAGACUACAAAAUAUCAUUGGUUACACAGUUUUUGUUAAAGUGAAAAAUGUAUUGAUAUAUGAAAACAUCAUCUAUUUUGAAAUAUCAAAAACUGUCUAAAACAUCAUUUAUUUUGAAAUGGAGGGAGUAGAGAUUUGGUAAGAGGAAGGAUUUAAGAGAGAACUUUUCUCUCUAAACGAAGAGAGAAAGAGAGAGCCUCCCUUUGGUUAUUUUUUUGCUUGCCAUCUCUUUUUCCCCCAGCGUAGAAUCAUAAUAACACUCAUUUGAAUUGACAACUUUUGAAUAUUACUACAAUUUCCAAUCGUAAUUAUCACUAAUAAUAGUUACCGAUUUAAAAGAAAGAAAGAAAACAAUGGUCGUUUCAGUCUUCAUCGAUAAUGAGUUGCAGAGAACCUCGAAGCUUCACGACCAAAACAAUGGCGGAGCGGCCAUACACCAUGCUUCUUCCUCUUCUUCUCCUUCUCCUCCAUUUCCCAUUUUUAACUUCGGCCAUACCUCUCGGCUCUGUUCUCUACGCCUCCGGUUCAAACCAGUCCUGGUCGUCUCCCAAUUCCACUUUCGCCGUCUCCUUUCUUCCAUCGUCUUCUCCAAACACCUUCCUCGCCGCCGUUUCCUUCGCCGGAACCGUUCCCAUUUGGUCCGCAGGAAGCGUUGACUCUCAAGGAUCCCUUCGCCUCUCCUCCUCCGGCUCUCUCCAACUCAUCAACGGCUCCAACACCACCGUCUGGGACUCCGCUACCGACGCUCUCGGCGUCGCUUCGGCUGCGAUUGAAGAUUCCGGUAGCCUUGUCCUCCUCAACAACCGAAACAAAACAGUCUGGUCUUCCUUCGAUCACCCGACGGACACGAUCGUGCAAUCUCAGAACUUCGCCGCCGGUAAGAUUCUCCGAUCUGGCAGCUACUCGUUUCAGCUAGAGAGAAGAGGGAACCUCACGCUUACGUGGAACAACACCACGGUUUACUGGAGCCAAGGGCUUAAUUCGUCAUUUAUACUUUAGUUCACAGGUAAACUUACGGUUGUGUUAGACAAUUCCUUGUUUAUCGCCGAAAGUGACACCCCUGUCAUUCCAUUUCGUUUGAAUGAGGACUUGCACAUCCUCGGGCAGUUGACAUCAGCUUCUUCAACAGGUUCUCUGAACGCCAAUCCUAGCUUAGGAAUUGCCUCGAAUGCAAGAAGCUGUUAAACACAACAUUUCUAAAAUCCCAUCAGUAAAUAACAAUAGCAAUCAAGUCAUUAAUGGGAUUUUACAUACCUCUAGUGGAACACAAAAACCCGGAAGCGACCAUAAUGUACCCUCCAAAAUGCUUCAUUGUGUGAGAGAUCUCCUUCAGCAUGUAAUCAUAAGAGAAUCUCCCCCAUGGAAAGGACUUACACAAGUCAAUAUCAUCCACUGCUCUCUGGAACACCUCCAACACAGGAUUAGCCUUGUGUCCAACCUUCGUCUGCGCGAAAACAACAGAAGCUAAGAAGAAUAGAACCGCCAUCUUCAGUCUGUCUUUGUGGGGUCCCAUGUCACGAGCUUCUUCUUAACAUCCUCCAACUUUCUAAGUUCUCCUUCCUUGAAAUGUCGAUCAACGAACUUCGUCCCACCAAGCUUUUUGUAGCCGAGAGGAUAGUUGUGGCAGAAUAGCCCAGAUAUCAAACCGUGUUCCCUCAGCCCAUAACGGAUGGCAACGCCAUUCACAAUGAACCACACUUCUCUCCGCCUCUUGCAACCGGCAGUACGCAGCAACAACAUCCACAUACCAUGAACCCUGUGGUUGUUCUCGCUUUUCAUGUGGAAAAUGUGUCUGAAUUGAGGAUGCUCUGUGAACGAGUUCCACUCCGCGUUAGACAGCUUCGGUUUCAGAUUGCUUAGCGUCUUACUCGCACUAGCUAUCAUGCACCUCGUCCCUAGAUUUUUUUUUUUUUGUACUCAGAUGGCUUGAAGAACAUUAUGGUUGGUUUGAUUGCCUCGGGUGCCUCAUUUUCAUCCAAAUCCUGCAAGUUAUAUCCAAGUUAUAUCCAAGUUAUACUAAAGUUAUACUCAAGUUAUACUAAAGUUAUACUAACGCAUACCAAAGUAAUACCAAAACUGACAGUUUUUCCAAUAGUUCUCCUAGUAUUACUAACAUUAACCCACUCAAUUUACUACCUCUCUCGAAUCAUAUGAACUUCAAUUCAAACUCAUUUUUAAUUUGUUACCUGAGGUUCAGGUGGAUUUCCAUUCUCGUUUGCUUCCUCUUCUCCUUCUCCAUUUGCUUGUUCUUCUUCCGAACGUGCAUUCACUUCGUUCUCUCCAUAUGGAGGUUCUUCUUCUGAAUCUUCAUGGUCCUGGUUAGAACUCUCCUUCUCUCCAUCUGGUUUUUCUUGUUCUUCUUCAGAACCCUCAUUCACUUCAUCUCCAGAAGCGGUUUUCUCAUUCACUUCAUCUCCAGAAGCGAUUUCCUCAUUCUCUUCAUCUCCAGAACCGGUUUCCUCAUUCUCUUCAUCUCCAGGACCUUUGUUCAGUGUCGUCGGAGCAGCUUCUGCAACCACAUUAAACGGCUCCGUCAUCUCCGCCGUAUUCUCAGAUGAGUCCUUUCUCGUCUUCUCCGUCGAGACAUCCGUCGUAUGAGUCAUCUCCAUCGAGACAUCCGUCGUCUUUGCCGUCGAUUCAUCCGUCGUCUUUGCCGUCGAUUCAACAACAUCCACCGCCCUCGUUUCACUCUCCUCCAUCGUCGUCUUCUCCACAUUUUCUCCGGAGCCCGUCUUUGCAAACUUCACUCUCGGAGCCUCUUCCUCCGUUGGAUUCUCCUUCCUCUUACCCCGUCGCGUUUCGACCACCAUUGCAAUCGAGCAACCACAUUAAACGGCUCCGUCAUCUCCGCCGUAUUCUCAGAUGAGUCCUUUCUCGUCUUCUCCGUCGAGACAUCCGUCGUAUGAGUCAUCUCCAUCGAGACAUCCGUCGUCUUUGCCGUCGAUUCAUCCGUCGUCUUUGCCGUCGAUUCAACAACAUCCACCGCCCUCGUUUCACUCUCCUCCAUCGUCGUCUUCUCCACAUUUUCUCCGGAGCCCGUCUUUGCAAACUUCACUCUCGGAGCCUCUUCCUCCGUUGGAUUCUCCUUCCUCUUACCCCGUCGCGUUUCGACCACCAUUGCAAUCGAAAGAUUUCACCGGAUUCUAUCUCGAUUCUCACCGAAUCAAGCUCGAUUUUGGAAACUAUGGUUCUUCUUUCGCUCGUGAGGAAAGAAAGAAAAAGAGGAGAGAAAUAAGUUUUAAACUGAGACAAAUUAGAUCUCCAAAUACAUUGAGAGGGUUUGCUAAAACCGACAGCUUUGGUUUGGUUUUGAGGGAUUGGUUUGUUUGGUUAGUAUGGUUACACGGUUAGACGAUUCGGUUCAAUUGAUUUGCCUAUAUAAGCGGGUUAGGUCGGGGCGGAUGGGUUAUACCCUGGUACAACUUGUAAAUACUUCAACUAUUUUCAGGGUUUUAUGUCAUUUCCGUAUUUUCCGAAUUAAAGAAAAAUUAUUUAUUUUUCUGUUUAUUAGAGUGUCUAAUAGAGAUUGGAUUACCAGAUUUGGAGGCACCAGAAGUGAUGACUCCUCAUAAAAUUGCCUAUUGCGAAAAGAAAAUCGUCUUGCACGAAACAAAAGAUCGAUCUUAGGGCCGAAGAUAUAUUACAAACAAAAGUUUUAAUCAGCAUCUUCCUCUAAAAAAUACUCUCUCUGUUUAAAAAUAGAUGAAGUUUUAAGAUUGUGCACAACUAUUAAGAAAUUUAUUUUUUAUCUUAAAAAUAUUAUUAAAAUUUAAAUUAAAAAAUUAUUCAAUCAAUCACAAAAUAGACUACAAAAUAUCAUUGGUUACACAGUUUUUGUUAAAGUGAAAAAUGUAUUGAUAUAUGAAAACAUCAUCUAUUUUGAAAUAUCAAAAACUGUCUAAAACAUCAUUUAUUUUGAAAUGGAGGGAGUAGAGAUUUGGUAAGAGGAAGGAUUUAAGAGAGAACUUUUCUCUCUAAACGAAGAGAGAAAGAGAGAGCCUCCCUUUGGUUAUUUUUUUGCUUGCCAUCUCUUUUUCCCCCAGCGUAGAAUCAUAAUAACACUCAUUUGAAUUGACAACUUUUGAAUAUUACUACAAUUUCCAAUCGUAAUUAUCACUAAUAAUAGUUACCGAUUUAAAAGAAAGAAAGAAAACAAUGGUCGUUUCAGUCUUCAUCGAUAAUGAGUUGCAGAGAACCUCGAAGCUUCACGACCAAAACAAUGGCGGAGCGGCCAUACACCAUGCUUCUUCCUCUUCUUCUCCUUCUCCUCCAUUUCCCAUUUUUAACUUCGGCCAUACCUCUCGGCUCUGUUCUCUACGCCUCCGGUUCAAACCAGUCCUGGUCGUCUCCCAAUUCCACUUUCGCCGUCUCCUUUCUUCCAUCGUCUUCUCCAAACACCUUCCUCGCCGCCGUUUCCUUCGCCGGAACCGUUCCCAUUUGGUCCGCAGGAAGCGUUGACUCUCAAGGAUCCCUUCGCCUCUCCUCCUCCGGCUCUCUCCAACUCAUCAACGGCUCCAACACCACCGUCUGGGACUCCGCUACCGACGCUCUCGGCGUCGCUUCGGCUGCGAUUGAAGAUUCCGGUAGCCUUGUCCUCCUCAACAACCGAAACAAAACAGUCUGGUCUUCCUUCGAUCACCCGACGGACACGAUCGUGCAAUCUCAGAACUUCGCCGCCGGUAAGAUUCUCCGAUCUGGCAGCUACUCGUUUCAGCUAGAGAGAAGAGGGAACCUCACGCUUACGUGGAACAACACCACGGUUUACUGGAGCCAAGGGCUUAAUUCGUCAUUUAGCUCCAACUUGUCUUCCCCUAGCUUAGCUUUACAGACCAACGGUGUUGUGUUGAUGUUCGAUUCAACUCUCACUGGUGGAGCUGAAACCAUUUACAGUGACGAUUACGGCGAAGGUAGCAAUACGUUUCGGUUCUUGAAGCUAGAUGAUGAUGGGAAUCUCAGAAUCUACAGCUCCGCGUCUAGAAACACCGGUCCUGUCUCGCCUCAUUGGUCUGCUGUAGCUGAUCAGUGUCUUGUUUAUGGGUAUUGUGGUAACUUUGGGAUUUGUAGUUACAAUGAUACUAAACCCAUUUGCUUGUGCCCUUCUCGUAACUUUGAUCCUGUUGAUGUGAAUGAUAGAAGAAAAGGUUGUAAGAGAAAAGUAGAACUAAGUAAUUGCUCUAGCAAUGCAGCCAUGCUUGAUUUGGAUCACACUAGGUUGAUUACAGACCCUAAUGACCCAAACUCUCAGAGCUUCUUUGCUGGAAGUUCGCCUUGUAGAGGGAAUUGCCUUGUUAGUGGUGUUUGUCUUGCUUCUGUCUCCAUGUCUGAUGGUUCUGGAAACUGUUGGCAGAAGCAACCCGGUUCCUUCAUUACCGGGUACCAGAGCUCAUCGGUUCCGAGUACUUCUUAUGUUAAAGUCUGUGGUCCGGUGUUGCUUAACGAACCUUUGGUUGGAUCAAAUGGUGAUGGUAAUAACUCGAAAGUGCACUUGUGGAUUGUUGCAGUUGCUGUACUAGCGGGCUUCUUGGUUUGGCUGUGGUAGAGGUAGGUCUAUGGUGGUGCUGCUGCAGAAACAAUCCUCGGUUUGGUGCUUUGUCGUCUCACUACACGUUGCUUGAGUACGCUUCUGGUGCACCCGUGCAGUUUACAUACAGGGAGCUUCAACGUUGCACAAAAAGUUUCAAAGAGAAGCUUGGAGCUGGAGGGUUUGGUAACCUCCAACUUUCUAAGUUCUCCUUCCUUGAAAUGUCGAUCAACAAACUUCGUCCCACCAAGAUUUUUGUAGCUGAGAGGAUAGUUGUGGCAGAAUAGCCCAUAUAUCAAACCGUGUUCCCUCAGCCCAUAACGGAUGGCUACGCCCUUCACAAUUAACCACACUUCUCUCCGCCUCUCGCAACCGGCAGUACGUAGCAACAACAUCCACAUACCUUGAACCCUGUGUUUGUUCUCGCUUUUCAUGUGGAAAAUGUGUCUGAAUUGAGGAUGCUCCGUGAACCAGUUCCACUUCGCGUUAGACAGCUUCGGUUUCAGAUUGCUUAUCGUAUUAAUCGCACUAGCUAUCAUGCAUCUCGUCCCUAGCUUUAUUUUUUUUGUACUCAGAUGGCUUGAAGAACAUUAUGGUUGGUUUGAUUGCCUCGGGUGCCUCAUUUUCAUCCAAAUCCUGCAAGUUAUAUCCAAGUUAUAUCCAAGUUAUACUAAAGUUAUACUCAAGUUAUACUAAAGUUAUACUAACGCAUACCAAAGUAAUACCAAAACUGACAGUUUUUCCAAUAGUUCUCCUAGUAUUACUAACAUUAACCCACUCAAUUUACUACCUCUCUCGAAUCAUAUGAACUUCAAUUCAAACUCAUUUUUAAUUUGUUACCUGAGGUUCAGGUGGAUUUCCAUUCUCGUUUGCUUCCUCUUCUCCUUCUCCAUUUGCUUGUUCUUCUUCCGAACGUGCAUUCACUUCGUUCUCUCCAUAUGGAGGUUCUUCUUCUGAAUCUUCAUGGUCCUGGUUAGAACUCUCCUUCUCUCCAUCUGGUUUUUCUUGUUCUUCUUCAGAACCCUCAUUCACUUCAUCUCCAGAAGCGGUUUUCUCAUUCACUUCAUCUCCAGAAGCGAUUUCCUCAUUCUCUUCAUCUCCAGAACCGGUUUCCUCAUUCUCUUCAUCUCCAGGACCUUUGUUCAGUGUCGUCGGAGCAGCUUCUGCAACCACAUUAAACGGCUCCGUCAUCUCCGCCGUAUUCUCAGAUGAGUCCUUUCUCGUCUUCUCCGUCGAGACAUCCGUCGUAUGAGUCAUCUCCAUCGAGACAUCCGUCGUCUUUGCCGUCGAUUCAUCCGUCGUCUUUGCCGUCGAUUCAACAACAUCCACCGCCCUCGUUUCACUCUCCUCCAUCGUCGUCUUCUCCACAUUUUCUCCGGAGCCCGUCUUUGCAAACUUCACUCUCGGAGCCUCUUCCUCCGUUGGAUUCUCCUUCCUCUUACCCCGUCGCGUUUCGACCACCAUUGCAAUCGAAAGAUUUCACCGGAUUCUAUCUCGAUUCUCACCGAAUCAAGCUCGAUUUUGGAAACUAUGGUUCUUCUUUCGCUCGUGAGGAAAGAAAGAAAAAGAGGAGAGAAAUAAGUUUUAAACUGAGACAAAUUAGAUCUCCAAAUACAUUGAGAGGGUUUGCUAAAACCGACAGCUUUGGUUUGGUUUUGAGGGAUUGGUUUGUUUGGUUAGUAUGGUUACACGGUUAGACGAUUCGGUUCAAUUGAUUUGCCUAUAUAAGCGGGUUAGGUCGGGGCGGAUGGGUUAUACCCUGGUACAACUUGUAAAUACUUCAACUAUUUUCAGGGUUUUAUGUCAUUUCCGUAUUUUCCGAAUUAAAGAAAAAUUAUUUAUUUUUCUGUUUAUUAGAGUGUCUAAUAGAGAUUGGAUUACCAGAUUUGGAGGCACCAGAAGUGAUGACUCCUCAUAAAAUUGCCUAUUGCGAAAAGAAAAUCGUCUUGCACGAAACAAAAGAUCGAUCUUAGGGCCGAAGAUAUAUUACAAACAAAAGUUUUAAUCAGCAUCUUCCUCUAAAAAAUACUCUCUCUGUUUAAAAAUAGAUGAAGUUUUAAGAUUGUGCACAACUAUUAAGAAAUUUAUUUUUUAUCUUAAAAAUAUUAUUAAAAUUUAAAUUAAAAAAUUAUUCAAUCAAUCACAAAAUAGACUACAAAAUAUCAUUGGUUACACAGUUUUUGUUAAAGUGAAAAAUGUAUUGAUAUAUGAAAACAUCAUCUAUUUUGAAAUAUCAAAAACUGUCUAAAACAUCAUUUAUUUUGAAAUGGAGGGAGUAGAGAUUUGGUAAGAGGAAGGAUUUAAGAGAGAACUUUUCUCUCUAAACGAAGAGAGAAAGAGAGAGCCUCCCUUUGGUUAUUUUUUUGCUUGCCAUCUCUUUUUCCCCCAGCGUAGAAUCAUAAUAACACUCAUUUGAAUUGACAACUUUUGAAUAUUACUACAAUUUCCAAUCGUAAUUAUCACUAAUAAUAGUUACCGAUUUAAAAGAAAGAAAGAAAACAAUGGUCGUUUCAGUCUUCAUCGAUAAUGAGUUGCAGAGAACCUCGAAGCUUCACGACCAAAACAAUGGCGGAGCGGCCAUACACCAUGCUUCUUCCUCUUCUUCUCCUUCUCCUCCAUUUCCCAUUUUUAACUUCGGCCAUACCUCUCGGCUCUGUUCUCUACGCCUCCGGUUCAAACCAGUCCUGGUCGUCUCCCAAUUCCACUUUCGCCGUCUCCUUUCUUCCAUCGUCUUCUCCAAACACCUUCCUCGCCGCCGUUUCCUUCGCCGGAACCGUUCCCAUUUGGUCCGCAGGAAGCGUUGACUCUCAAGGAUCCCUUCGCCUCUCCUCCUCCGGCUCUCUCCAACUCAUCAACGGCUCCAACACCACCGUCUGGGACUCCGCUACCGACGCUCUCGGCGUCGCUUCGGCUGCGAUUGAAGAUUCCGGUAGCCUUGUCCUCCUCAACAACCGAAACAAAACAGUCUGGUCUUCCUUCGAUCACCCGACGGACACGAUCGUGCAAUCUCAGAACUUCGCCGCCGGUAAGAUUCUCCGAUCUGGCAGCUACUCGUUUCAGCUAGAGAGAAGAGGGAACCUCACGCUUACGUGGAACAACACCACGGUUUACUGGAGCCAAGGGCUUAAUUCGUCAUUUAGCUCCAACUUGUCUUCCCCUAGCUUAGCUUUACAGACCAACGGUGUUGUGUUGAUGUUCGAUUCGACUCUCACUGGUGGAGCUGAAACCAUUUACAGUGACGAUUACGGCGAAGGUAGCAACACGUUUCGGUUCUUGAAGCUAGAUGAUGAUGGGAACCUCAGAAUCUACAGCUCCGUGUCUAGAAACAGCGGUCCUGUCUCGCCUCAUUGGUCUGCUGUAGCUGAUCAGUGUCUUGUUUAUGGGUAUUGUGGUAACUUCGGGAUUUGUAGUUACAAUGAUACUAAACCCAUUUGCUUGUGUCCUUCUCGUAACUUCGAUCCUGUUGAUGUGAAUGACAGAAGAAAAGGUUGUAAGAGAAAAGUAGAGCUAAGUAAUUGCUCUAGCAAUGCAGCCAUGCUUGAUCUGGAUCACACUAGGUUGAUUACAGACCCUAAUGACCCAAACUCUCAGAGUUUCUUUGCUGGAAGUUCGCCUUGUAGAGCGAAUUGUCUUGUUAGUGGUGUUUGUCUUGCUUCUGUCUCCAUGUCUGAUGGGUCUGGAAACUGUUGGCAGAAGCAACCCGGUUCCUUCAUUACCGGGUACCAGAGCUCAUCGGUUCCGAGUACUUCUUAUGUUAAAGUCUGUGGUCCGGUGUUGCUUAACGAACCUUUGGUUGGAUCAAAUGGUGAUGGUAAUAACUCGAAAGUGCACUUGUGGAUUGUUGCAGUUGCUGUACUAGCUGGGCUUCUUGGCUUAGCUGCGGUAGAGGUAGGUCUAUGGUGGUGCUGCUGCAGAAACAAUCCUCGGUUUGGUACUUUGUCGUCUCACUACACGUUGCUUGAGUACGCUUCUGGUGCACCCGUGCAGUUUACAUACAGGGAGCUUCAGCGUUGCACCAAAGGUUUCAAAGAGAAGCUUGGAGCUGGAGGGUUUGGUACCGUGUAUAGAGGCGUGCUCUCGAAUAAAACCGUGGUUGCAGUGAAGCAGCUAGAAGGUAUAGAGCAAGGGGAGAAGCAGUUUAGGAUGGAGGUUGCAACCAUUAGCAGCACACACCAUCUGAAUCUAGUCAGACUGAUCGGGUUCUGCUCUGAGGGACGACACAGGCUUCUCGUCUAUGAGUUCAUGAGAAACGGAUCUCUGGAUAGCUUCUUGUUUAGUACUGCUUCAGGGAAGUUGUUGACUUGGGAGUAUCGGUUCAACAUUGCGCUUGGGACGGCCAAGGGAAUAACUUACCUCCACGAAGAGUGCCGCGACUGCAUUGUUCACUGCGACAUUAAGCCAGAGAACAUUCUCGUGGAUGACAAUUACACUGCCAAAGUCUCUGACUUCGGACUAGCCAAACUCUUGAACCCAAAAGACAACAGGCACAAGAACCUGAGUAGCGUUAGAGGAACUAGAGGCUAUCUAGCACCUGAAUGGCUCGCAAAUCUUCCUAUAACCUCGAAAUCGGAUGUCUAUAGCUACGGUAUGGUCCUGCUAGAAAUAGUCAGCGGACAAAGGAACUUUGAUGUCUCAGAGAGAACAAACCACAAGAAAUUCUCGAUUUGGGCUUACGAGGAGUUUGAUAAGGGUAACACCGAGGCCAUCCUAGACAUGCGUUUAAGCGAAGAUCAGACGGUUGAUAUGGAACAAGUGAGGAGAAUGGUUCAGACAAGCUUCUGGUGCAUACAAGAGCAGCCACUGCAGAGGCCGGCAAUGGGGAAAGUGGUUCAGAUGCUAGAAGGAAUCACGGCCAUAAACAAGCCGCCACGUCCAAAGACCUUAAGCGCAGUGUCGAUUUCAGGGAAUAGUGGGAGCACAAGCCACGCAUCUAUCUUGGUUGCUUCGGGUCCGACGCGAUCAUCUUCUUCGUCCGCUGCUACACGGUCGUUUCAGACAAUGGGGAUCACAUCGUCUGGACCGGCUUCCACAAUAAUCAGUGAAGGUUCGUUGCUUUGAUCUUAAACUGGUUGUACUGUGAGAUUAGUAGUACAAGUAGUGUAGGUUUUCUCUUGCUUUACUUAUUGGAUGCGUUGUAGUUGUAUAGGAACACAGCAAAGCUAUAUCAUAUCUAUUGUUAUGAAAUAAAUAAUAUGCAUAUUCAAGGUUGUGGAACGGUUCCAAGUAGAACCAAAGUUAAAUAUGAUAAUAUUAUCAUCCCAUUGUAAUUAAAAUUAGCAAAUGUUCAACGCAUUGUUAUGACUAAAAAUGUCUAGGGGUUGAAAACCAAUAUAAGAUCUCAAAUUUCUUCCAAUAUUGUUGCGUGUACGUCGUCUCGUGCAAGCAUAACUAAGAGCAUCAUUAACCCAAAAAAGACACCAACAUUUUUAAACUCUAAUGAAAGUUUCUUAUUUAGAGGUUCUUAAAAAAAUUAAAAAAAAUUAAAAAUUAUUUAAUUAAAGAUAAAAUUUAUUUAUUAAAUAAAAUAUUAUAAAAGAUAACAUUUUAAAUAUAGAUUUAAGAAAACAUAAAAACAAAGAUUAGUAAAAUGAACGAUAAUAAUUUGAAAGAAGCAUUCGAGCUCAGUUGUUGUUUUAAUCAUGUCCAAAUUUACGCCAUAUAUGUUCUUAAAUACGCCACUUUGGUGUUGUGAAUAAGAGUGAAUGCUGAUUUAAGAGAGAAAAAAGAGAGAAAGUAAGUGUGUUGUGAUUAAAGAGAGAAGAUGACUUUGGUGUUGUGAAUAAAUUUUUUUGUUGUGAAUAUAAAGAGUGAGUGUUGAUUUAAGAGAUAACAAGAGAGAAAGCAAUAGUGUUUGUUACAAGUGUUUGUUACAAGUCGAGAGUGUUUGUUAUAUAGACACAAGUACUAUCGAUUACAAGUCGAGUUGUUUGAUUCCUUACAAGUCCGUGACAUAAGAAGCAAGUACACAAAAAUACAAUAGAUAAGAAGUUACAAAACAUUGUUUUAUUAAAGAUAAAACUCUUGAAGUUACUUGAGUCAAAAGACAAGUGCUUGUAUCAUCAAAAUCAUCUCCUUGAAUAGUAUAUGGUUUCGCAAUAGGAGAAGGCAAUGCAACUUUUUCUUUAGCCUGGUCUUCAGAUCGCUUCAGACUCUUGUCUGACUUCUCAUGCAAAACUCUUGAAAGCACAACUUUUCAUCUAGAUUCACACUCCAAUUCCGUGAAUCUUCCAAUCCACUAAACAAGUCUAUAAAACCAUAUACAAAAGGUCCAACGGAAGAAGGUUUUGUUUUAUUUGAAAACCCAGCUUCCUCAAUGAACUGAGGGCCUGGAUGAGCAGUCAAGCUUGGAACCUUAAGAAGAUAUAGAAGCUUUUCUGCAUCAGCUGUUGUCAACCCUUGAUCUGGAGUAAUCUGCCACCACUAGUAUUAUGAGUAUCAUGUGAACCGCCGUGACUUCAACACGGCGAGGACGCUGCCCAACCUUCGCCAUUCACUCACCUAAAAACAACAACAACGACGAAAAAACAAAGGAAAUAGAGGAGUCGCCAAGGAGAGCCACAGAGAGAGAUGUGGAGAGAAGAAAGUCGAUAGAGAGAGAUGCUGAGAGAAGAAGGCGAAACUCUCUCAAUGAGAGACACCUCACAAGAGACGUUUCUUCUUGUCCUUAACUAAGACACGUUUCUUCUAAUAACUAUUUUGAUUUAUUUUUAAUCCUAAUUAUGCUAAAAACCCCAGCUAAGCAACUGCUAUAAUCAUGGUCUAACUCGUCGGAAGGUGAGAAAUAAAGCAAAAACUCUACAUUUUUAACUCGAUAAAUAAGUUAAUAAGCUACACAGUAAAUCAUCUUAUAGGAACUUUAAAAUUAUGUAUUAUAGAUUUAAGCUGUCAAUAAUUUUUGUUAUUAUGUAAUUAAGUAACACUACAAGAAAACAGCGGUAUUCUGACGGAUAUUCCGACGGAAAAUGAAAUCCUCGGAAUAUCCCGAGGAAUUUCCGAAGAUAUUCCGAGGAAACACAAAAUUUGGUUUCCUCGGAAUUUCCUCGGAAUAUACCGACGGAAUUCCGAGGAAAUAUCAAUCCGUCGGAAUAUUCUUAUGGAAUACCGAGGAAAAAUAUAUUCCUCGGAAAAAAACCGAUGAAUUCCGAGGAUAUAUUAUAGCCGUUAGAGAGCCGUUGGAGAGCCGUGGGGGAUUUUAAAAAUUCCGAGGAAAUCCGACGAACUAGCCGUUGGCGUCAGAAUUCCGUCGGAAUUUUCUCGGUCUGUCGGCAGGAUUUCAACUAUAAAUACAAGCACCCCUCUUCCUCUUCAUUCACUCUAUAUCUUCAUCCUCCCUCUUACUCUCUUUACACACGAAUUUGAUUCAUAAAAAACAUGUCUUCUUCAAAUUAUUUUCGUUCUUGGAUCGAUCGACCUCAUUUGGAUCCGAACACGAGAUUGCUUACGGAAGAAUACCAACGAGGUAUAACCGAAUUCAUGGGGUUAGUUCACCGACAACCGGAAGCAAAAACAGGUAUGUUAAGAUGUCCUUGCUCUAAUUGUAAAAAUAGAAAGGUUAUUAAAGAGUGGGAUGUUUGGACUCAUCUAUAUUUGAGUGGGUUUACACGAAGUUACAAAAUUUGGUAUCAUCAUGGGGAAACUGAUUAUGAACAUGGUAGUACUAGCGAACCUCAGCCAGCGGUUAGAUUAGAAGAACCAAUUAGAACGGAUGUAGAUUAUGGUGUAGGUACUGAGCAGAUGGUAAAUGAUCAUUUUAGAGGGGAAGAUUUACCCAAUGCAGAAGCUAGGAGAUUUUAUGAUAUGUUGGAUGCUGGAAAGCAACCAUUGUACGAAGGUUGCAGAGAUGGUCAUUCAGCUUUAUCAUCUGCUACAAGAUUGAUGGGCAUUAAAACAGAUUAUAAUUUGGCUGAAGACUGUGUGGAUGCGAUUGCUGAUUUUGUAAAAGGUAUUCUACCCGAGGAUAAUGUAGCUCCUGGUUCAUACUAUGAGGUUCAGAAACUCGUAGCUGGUCUUGGUUUAUCGUAUCAGGUAAUAGAUGUAUGCAACGACAACUGCAUGAUUUAUUGGAGGGCGGAUGAACAGCGGGUUACAUGCAAAUUUUGUGGGAAACCUCGUUAUAAAAAUACGAGUGGAAGAGUUCCAGUGCCAUAUAAAAGGAUGUGGUAUUUACCUUUGACGGAAAGGUUGCAGAGGUUGUAUCUGUCUGAACGCACAGCGCAACCAAUGAGAUGGCAUGCGGAGCACUCAACAGAUGGUGAGAUCAGACAUCCUUCAGAUGCAAAAGCGUGGAAGCAUUUCCAAUCAAAGUAUCCCGACUUUGCGUAUGAGAGAAGAAAUGUCUACCUUGGAUUAUGUACUGAUGGUUUCAGUCCGUUUGGCAAGAGUGGAAGACAGUAUUCUCUAUGGCCCGUCAUUCUUACACCAUACAACCUACCCCCAAACUUGUGCUUGCGACGAGAGUUUUUGUUUCUCUCGAUUCUCGUUCCCGGACCAGAGCAUCCUAAGAGAUCACUUGAUGUGUUUCUUCAGCCACUAAUAUAUGAGUUGCAACAACUAUGGGCUCAAGGUGCUGAAACAUACGAUGUUUCGUGUAAAGAAAACUUUCAAAUGCGGGCAGUACUAAUGUGGACAAUAAGUGAUUUUCCAGCAUAUGGUAUGUUAUCUGGAUGGACAACGCAUGGAACGUGCAAGACCCGUUGUUUUUUUUUUUUUUCAAAAACUCAGAAUGUUUUAUUUUUAUUUGUACAACUUUGAAUAUCAUCUAAUAUGUUUUCAAUUUUAAUUUUAAUUUUAUAUUUUCGAAUUUAAAUUUCAAAAAUUUUAAUUUUUUAAAAAAAUUAAUUUAAAAAAAAAAUUAAUUUAAAAAAAAAAAUUAAUUUUUUUUGAAAUUCCGAGGAAAUGGACCCUCGGAAAUUUCCGACGAACAUUUCCUCGGAAUAAGUCAUCGGAAUAUACCAAGGGCCACAUUCCUCGGAAUUUUCCGAGGGCCACGGUCCUCGAAAAUUCCCGAUGAAAAUUCCGAGGAACAUUUCGUCGGAACUUCCGAGGAUUGGACCAUCGGAAAUUCCAUCAAAAUAUCCCGAGGAAGUCCUCCCUUGGUAUAUUCCGAGAACUUUUCCGACGAACUGGUGGUUUUCAGAGUUUCCUCGAAAAUUCAUUUCCUCGGAAUUCCGUCGAAAAUUUCCGAGGGAUUUUCGAGGAAAAAUGAAUUUCCGAGGAGUUUUUUUUCCGAGGACUUUUUUCGUCAGUAUGUCGUCGGAAUAGUGUUAUUCCGACGAUAUAUCGACGAUAUUUUCGCUCGGUAUGCCGCUGUUUUCUUGUAGUAUAAGUGCAUAUAAUUUGUUGUCAAUGUGACUAAAAUAUGAGUGAUUUUAAAGAGACGUUAUUACAAUUAGUACGUAUAUGAAAUGUCAUAUUUCAAACCUCAUUUUACCUAAUAAAAAUUAGAACUUGUAUAAAGGUGUAUAAAAUUUGUAUUGAUUCAUUCAUAAAUUUAACAAAGAAACCUACACAAUAAAUAGUUUCUGGAGGUUUAGAUUCUUUGGUAACACACUACUAACACUGCCAAAGGUUUUUCGUAUAAUUUUUGUUUACUGCUUUUUAAUUGUCUUUGAGCUCUUUCUGAUUGCAACUACUAAAAUAUAAACAAAAAUAGUCUAAUCAAAAUAAGAAGAUUCUCGAGACAUCAAAAUCCAGGAAAGAUUAAAAUAAGAAGGAGAAUUGCUUUGGAAUGGCAAAGCAACAAUCGUAUUCAACGAAGUGAAUCCAUUCACCAUGAUUAGCCCGAAAAUUAAUGUCGAUCCUUGGACCUUGAUACCAGUAUUUUGGUCAAAGAUGGUUUACCGCAUUUUUUUGGUUUGAUCAUCAAACUCUCAACACUCUUUUUAGUUUUUAUACACCUAUUUGUUCUUAAUUAUUUGUUGUCACCCACUUAUUUUCAACAAAUAUGUAAUCAAAUAUCAUUUUCAACGCGUUUUUAGGAUAAACUUUCAGGUACCCUUUUUAUAAAGAGCAUGGGGGCGGGCUGAUUAUUUACAACGAUAUAUAUGUAUAUAUAAUAUAUAUAUACACAUUAUAUAUUGAGACGUGGAAUCAAAUAUAUAUGAUAGAAAUGCGAUAGAGACACUCAGAAAUAUAUAGAAAUUUGACCAAUGUGAAACUUGUUGAAUUGGUCCAAAAAACUAGGCAAUCUUUCCGACCAACACAUGUAUCCUUUUAGAUUAAUUCUUCUUCUUACGUCCUACUUCUAAUUACUAGAUAAGCAACUAUCUAUAGCCUGAACGUAAAUGGCCAACGUGUUAAUGUAAACAAUAUGUAUGAUUUUGGUAGUUUUAAUUAAUUUUAAACAUGUAUGGAUGAGAAUAUUAAAAGUUGCCCACAAUGGUAUUCGUGCACACAAGCAGAAAUCACAGUUAGUAAAGCCGGAUAACAAUAGUCGAUUCGAACACGUACCAUAUGAUACCCAUCUUGCUUGUACGUAGCUACCACACUUCGAAACAUCAGUUGCAAUGUAAGAACUAGAUCAUGACCCGGAUAACAGGAAAUUUUUUUAUUUUAAAUUGAUUAAACAAAAUUUAUAAAUUAAAUGAAUGUUGUUCAGUGUUAAAAGAGGUUUUAGUUGUAUAAUAUUACUUUAUAUGACUAAAUAACGUUAUUACAAUUCUUUGGUAACGUAUCUUGUUAAUAAUUUGGUUCAUAUUAUAACAAGUUUAUAUUUGUUGUUUUUAAGUAGUGUUAAGAAUUUAUCUUCAGAAAAUAUAUAUUUCGAAUAUAUUUGAUAAUUGUUUUGUUAUUAUAUUUAUUGUACUAUGUUGUUAUUUUCGAUGUAUAAUGUUUAUAUAUAUUUAUAUUUUUAUGUAAUGGCUAUUAUUGAAUUAUCAUAUUACAUAAAUAAAUUAUAUAAAGUUUCUGGAGGUUUAGAUUCUUUGGUAACACACUACUAACACUGCCAAAGGUUUUUCGUAUAAUUUUUGUUUACUGCUUUUUAAUUGUCUUUGAGCUCUUUCUGAUUGCAACUACUAAAAUAUAAACAAAAAUAGUCUAAUCAAAAUAAGAAGAUUCUCGAGACAUCAAAAUCCAGGAAAGAUUAAAAUAAGAAGGAGAAUUGCUUUGGAAUGGCAAAGCAACAAUCGUAUUCAACGAAGUGAAUCCAUUCACCAUGAUUAGCCCGAAAAUUAAUGUCGAUCCUUGGACCUUGAUACCAGUAUUUUGGUCAAAGAUGGUUUACCGCAUUUUUUUGGUUUGAUCAUCAAACUCUCAACACUCUUUUUAGUUUUUAUACACCUAUUUGUUCUUAAUUAUUUGUUGUCACCCACUUAUUUUCAACAAAUAUGUAAUCAAAUAUCAUUUUCAACGCGUUUUUAGGAUAAACUUUCAGGUACCCUUUUUAUAAAGAGCAUGGGGGCGGGCUGAUUAUUUACAACGAUAUAUAUGUAUAUAUAAUAUAUAUAUACACAUUAUAUAUUGAGACGUGGAAUCAAAUAUAUAUGAUAGAAAUGCGAUAGAGACACUCAGAAAUAUAUAGAAAUUUGACCAAUGUGAAACUUGUUGAAUUGGUCCAAAAAACUAGGCAAUCUUUCCGACCAACACAUGUAUCCUUUUAGAUUAAUUCUUCUUCUUACGUCCUACUUCUAAUUACUAGAUAAGCAACUAUCUAUAGCCUGAACGUAAAUGGCCAACGUGUUAAUGUAAACAAUAUGUAUGAUUUUGGUAGUUUUAAUUAAUUUUAAACAUGUAUGGAUGAGAAUAUUAAAAGUUGCCCACAAUGGUAUUCGUGCACACAAGCAGAAAUCACAGUUAGUAAAGCCGGAUAACAAUAGUCGAUUCGAACACGUACCAUAUGAUACCCAUCUUGCUUGUACGUAGCUACCACACUUCGAAACAUCAGUUGCAAUGUAAGAACUAGAUCAUGACCCGGAUAACAGGAAAUUUUUUUAUUUUAAAUUGAUUAAACAAAAUUUAUAAAUUAAAUGAAUGUUGUUCAGUGUUAAAAGAGGUUUUAGUUGUAUAAUAUUACUUUAUAUGACUAAAUAACGUUAUUACAAUUCUUUGGUAACGUAUCUUGUUAAUAAUUUGGUUCAUAUUAUAACAAGUUUAUAUUUGUUGUUUUUAAGUAGUGUUAAGAAUUUAUCUUCAGAAAAUAUAUAUUUCGAAUAUAUUUGAUAAUUGUUUUGUUAUUAUAUUUAUUGUACUAUGUUGUUAUUUUCGAUGUAUAAUGUUUAUAUAUAUUUAUAUUUUUAUGUAAUGGCUAUUAUUGAAUUAUCAUAUUACAUAAAUAAAUUAUAUAAUUUUUAUUAGAUUGUAGAUUAGUGCAAUACAAAAAUAACUGAUGUUGCUAACAUAUAGAAAUAUGAAUACAUUUUUUGUGUUCAUAUAUAUCAAAUUAAUUACAUUUCAUAUAAAUAAUCUUAUUCUCUAUAUAUAUUUAAAUAUUAGAAAAUUAAAAUUUUAAUUGAUUAAAUGUAUGUAGAUUUUAUUCAAUAAGCUAUAUAAUAAUCUAUAGAUUUAUUUUCGUACACUUUUUAAAAAAAAUCAUUCUGAUUUGUUUGAAAAGAAUUGACUCAACAAAAACAUAUAUAGAUAAGCACAGAUUUGGCCCAAUGAAUUUUGUUAAGUAUCCAUUUAUAAAUUAAAGUCCGCCAUCUAACAUCUUUUAACUCGGAACAACAAGUAAACGUUUGUAUAAUCUUUUUGUGCUUUUAUUUGUCAGGCAUGCACCACCUCUUGAAUUAUUUAUUGUUCCAAUCAUAUAAACUGUUUUAAAAAAAAAUACCGGAAAUAUCUUUAAAAAUACAAUUUACGAAAUCAAAAUGUUUUUACAUUUUUAUUUUAUUGUAUUUUAAGUAUAUAUAACAAUAUUAUUAUAUUUUAUUUUUAAUAUGAAAUUGUAUAAGAUAUUAUUUAACUUAAUUUUUAGUCAUUUCAACUCUUUUCAUUAUGAAUUUUCAAUAAAAUCUCUCUAAUUUAUUUUAUCAAUUGUAUAAUAUAUUUUAUAAAAGCAAAUACUACAUGAUAUGAAACAUGAUAACACUUAUUGGUCAAAUGAAGCUUUAAAAAAUACCAAAAUUUACAGUGAAGAAAAAUAAGUGUUUUUUUAGACACUGAUUAUUCUUGAUUGUAAUUUUUUAUAUUUUAACAUCACUGAUUAAAAAAUAAAAAUAAAAGAAUAAAUGUUUACAUAUGGUACUAAUAACUCUUAUAUCAUCACUAAAGUAAAAUUUUGGUAUAAAUAUUUAUUGUUGGCAAGAAGUUUGAAAACUAUUAAUUUGUAGUGAAAAAUAAAUUUAAUAUAAUUUUUACAUCAACUUAUAUAUAUAUAUAUAUAUAUAUAUCUCAAAAUAAUUAUAAUUUCUAAUCAACAAAUACAAAAGUAAAUCAACACUAAUCAAAUAAUUUAUUUUCUUGUCGGAGCUGCUUCCAUGCGCUCCGACAAGUAAAGCCUAAAGUGUCUUGAGAGAGAAUCAUUUGGUUUGCGCAGGGCGUUCUACAAUACUCUUUCAUUACAUGGUUAGCGAUCAUGGAACCGGUUAUCGAUAGGUGACCAUAUGCGAUCAUGGGGGAAAACUCAGGUUUGUAUGCGUUGCGGUGAGCCAUCUAUGUUUGCAUGCCCUUACUUCUUCAUAGUUUGACUGAGAGUGAGAAGACUGCUCACAGAUCAAGCUUCUCAUGGCUGGACGGACACGCUUAACUUCUUGCACCGGGGAGGCCGCAACCUGAUGGAUCAUAUACUCUUUUGUAUGGUGUUCCAAACUGUGGUUCACUACCUCUAAAGAACGAAAUACCAAGAGAUAUGAAGGACCUUGGAACCCACGUGAGCAGACUUGUUUGAAGUCUGCGAAAAUAUUCUCCUUGUAUUUUCAAAGCAGUGAAAAACAUAAUAUUCUCCUUGGGAUACAUAUUUUCACAUAAGUUAACAGGUCUCUUGCGAAAAUUGUUUGAAGUUACUUAAUUCUUUAUUCUUCUUGGGUGGGUUUGUAGUUUAUGCUUUCCUGCCUUAGGGUUCUCCAUUACACAAUUCAUAUUUGUAGAUAUGUCUUUUGUUGAUCAAUAAAUUUUAAUUUCAUCGAAAAAAAUUAUAUAUUAAAUAAUGACAUAUAUAAAUUCUAAUAAAUUUUAGAUCUUUGUUUGUUUUAGUUAAAAUAUGUUAAACUGAUAAAAUAAAUAUCUUGAUUAACUUAAUAAAAUGAUAAAUUUAAAUAAAAAUUUAAUCAUUCAACUAUCAAAAAAAAAAUUUGAUUAGUAUUGCUUUAGUUUUGUAUUUAUUGAAUUUAAAAAUUUUGAUUAUGUAUAUAUAUAUAAUAUGAUAUAUAAGUUGAUGCAAAAAUUAUAGUUUUAGUUGUAUUAAGUUUAUUUGUUAUUAAUCCGAUACAUAUUUCAAUUUAAUGUUGAUAUAUGAGUUAUUGAUAUAUUCAAAAGUCAACCAAGUCGCCUUCGCCAAAUGGUAAAAGAGCUCGAGCACGAGCUUCCGCCAUGGGUUCGAAUAGUAUUGGGCAUCUAGCCGCGCCCGGAUGCAAAAUAUCGUGGGAUUAGUUUUUUGACCUAAAAAAUCUUUGGGAUCCACACGGCUAUAGAAAAAACAUUUCUUAAGUUUUACCAAAAAUAAUUAUUUAUAUUAAAAGAUAUGUUUAAUGACGACAUAUGAGUUAUCAGUCAUUACCAUAUCUAUAUUUAUUUUUGCCAAAAAAUAUAGAUGGUUAUAUGAAAAUUGUACAUGUCCCAAUUAGAAUGUCACAAUUAGAUUGAUGUUAUGUUAUAUUUUUAAAAGGUUAUGUCAUAUUUCUUUUGUGGAUAAUGAAUGUAGUGAUGAUACAUACACAAAUUACUUCGUAAAUAAUGUUUAGGAGACUAGAUAUAAACACAUAUGUGACAUGGCUGAUUUUUCACUUUUUUAUUUCAGUAUAUAGUAUGAGCAAGAUUUUUUUUUAAUGAACUUUAGCUAGUUUCCUUGACUAAACUAUGAAAUAUAAAAUGGAUAAAAUAUUUUUAUAUUGAAUAUUUUACCAUCGAAAAAAUAUAUUGCGUUUUUUUACUAAUCAUGGGAAUCCCUAACCUAAAAUCCAUACUGAUUAGAAAAAAACUCAAAUUUUGGGUUUUAUUGCUACUAAAAACGUUUAUGGGUGACCGACCAUCCACGGUUGAAACAUGAAAUCAUAGCAUGGAAACUCAAACGUCUAUUCCCCAACUGGGAAACUGGAAUCACCUGAUUUGAAAAUAGGAUAACUUCUUCAUCCCAACUCCUAUGAGAUUUAUUCAACUUCCUAGUGAUUCUCCACCACCUUAUGAAUCCAAAUCAAGCUUCUCACAAUGUGAUUCAUCUUGGUUUAAUUGGAACGACGAAGAAGCUGUGCUAUUCUCAAACUGGGAAACUGGAAUCACCUGAUUUGAAAGUGGGAUAACUUUUUCAUCCCAACUCCUAUGAGAUUUAUUCAACUUCCUAGUGAUUCUCCACCACUUUAUGUAUCCAAGUCAAGCUUCUCACAAAUUGAUUCAUCCUGGUUUGAUUGGAACGACGAAGAAGCUGUGCUAUUCCCAAACUCGGAAACUGCAAUCACCUGAUUUGAAUGUAGGAUAACUUCUUCAUCACAACUCUUAUGAGAGUUAUUCAACUUCCUGGUGAUUCUCCACCACUUUAUGUAUUCAAAUGAAGCUUCUCACUAAGUGAUUGAUCCUGGUUUGAUUGGAAUGACGAAGAAGCUGUGCUAUUCCCAAACAGGGAAACUGGAAUCACCUGAUUCGAAAGUGGGAUAGCUUCUUCAUCCUAACUCAUAUGCAAUUUAUUAAACUGCCUGGUGAUUCUCCACUACUUUAUGUAUCAAAAUCAAGCUUCUUACAUCGCGAUUCAUCCUGGUUUGAUUAGAAUUACAAAGAAGCUGCCAUAUUCCCAAACAGGAAAACUGGGAUAACCUGAUUUGAAAGUUGGAUAGCUUCUUCAUCCUAACUCAUACGAGAUUUAUUCAACUUCCUAGUGAUUCUCCAUUACUUUAUAUAUCAAAAUCAAGCUUCUUACAUCGCGAUUCAUCCUGGUUUGAUUAGAAUGACAAAGAAACUGUCAUAUUCCCAAACAGGGAAACUGGGAUAACCUGAUUUGAUUUCAACAUAUAAUGAAUGAUAUAUUCAAUAAUUAUUCAAAAUUUACAAUUGUCUACAUAGAUGACGUGUUAGUAUACUCCACUUCAAUAGACCAACACAUUAGUCACUUAAACACAUUCCUCAGUAUAGUUAAAAAACAUGGAUUAGUUAUAUCAGCCAAGAAAAUUUCUUUAUUCCAAACAAAAAUAAGAUUUUUAGGACAUAAUAUAUAUCAAGGAACAAUCACACCUAUUUCAAGAUCAAUUGAAUUCGCAGAUAAAUUUCCUGACGAGUUAAGAGAAAAGACCCAAUUACAAAGAUUUUUAGGAUGUCUAAACUAUGUUUCAGACUUCUUACCCAAUCUUAGGAAAACAAUUCAACCAUUAUUUCAACGGUUACAAAAGAAUCCAAAACCAUGGACUAAUCAACAUACCCUUUUAGUCAAACAAGUUAAGCAAAAGGUUAAAACUCUUCCAUGCCUUUCCAUACCAAAUCCUGAAGCUGACAUGAUAGUUGAAACUGAUGCUUCAGAAAUAGGUUAUGGAGGAAUUCGCAAGCAAAAAUUACCACAAUCAAAACAAGAAUCUAUAGUUCGAUUCCAUUCAGGAGUCUGGUUAGGACCACAAAAGCAUUAUUCAACAGUUAAGAAAGAAGUUCUCUCAAUUGUUAAUUGUACCUCAAAAUUCCAAGACGACUUAAUAAACAAAAUUUUUUUAUUGCGAGUAGAUUGCAAAUCAGCAAAAGAAAUAUUGCAAAAAGAUGUCAAAAACUUAGUAUCAAAACAAAUAUUUGCUAGAUGGCAAGUGAUAUUAUCCGUUUUCAAUUUUGAUAUUCAAUAUAUUAAAGGAGAAAAAAAAUUCUUUACCCGACUUUCUAACAAGAGAGUAUUUGCAGGGAAAAUCCACAGAUAAUCAACAACAACAAGAUAUUCAAAAUGAGUGACUAGAAGAUGAAAAAGCAGAUGACAGCAACGGAUUAUAUCAAAAACCAACCACAUCUCCAAGGAAGGACUUUAACUCCAAACCCUUACUCAGCAUUAGCUGAAUAUCCUCCUCUAUCUUAUUCAAAAGCAGUCUCUGAAAAGUCAUCAAAAACGGAAACACAAUCAUCUACAGCAACCCCAAACACAACCAAUAGCUUCUUCAUCCUAACUUCUAUGAUAUUUAUUCAACUUCCUAGUGAUUCUCCAUUAGUUUUUGUAUCAGACUUCUUACCCAAUCUAGGAAAAUAAUUCACCUAUGAGAUUUAUUCAACUUCCUAGUGAUUCUCCACCACCUUAUGAAUCCAAAUCAAGCUUCUCACAAUGUGAUUCAUCUUGGUUUAAUUGGAACGACGAAGAAGCUGUGCUAUUCCCAAACUCGGAAACUGCAAUCACCUGAUUUGAAUGUAGGAUAACUUCUUCAUCCCAACUCCUAUGAGAUUUAUUCAACUUCCUAGUGAUUCUCCACCACCUUAUGAAUCCAAAUCAAGCUUCUCACAAUGUGAUUCAUCUUGGUUUAAUUGGAACGACGAAGAAGCUGUGCUAUUCCCAAACUCGGAAACUGCAAUCACCUGAUUUGAAUGUAGGAUAACUUCUUCAUCAAAGACCUUGGUUUUAUACAUCAUCAUACAACAAAACCUUUUUCUAUCCCAGGCUAUCAUAUCGACGGCUACACCUAUACUGAUUACAAAAAUGCCUUUUUCCGAGCCUUUUUACUCAGACCCUAUGACCACUCUUGGUUCUUCAGUUUUGAUCAAAACUGCACAAAGACGAUAUCGGGAUGGUUCAACGAAUGGUGGUACUGGUACGGACCAGCAGAUCCAAUCUACCCCGACCAAGUACUCAAGACCUCCUACCCAUUCUACAAGAAACACGUAUUUGAUCAACCAGUUGGGCCUCUAAACAAAAUGAGAUUUAUUCAACUUCCUAGUGAUUCUCCAUUACUUUAUAUAUCAAAAUCAAGCUUCUUACAUCGCGAUUCAUCCUGGUUUGAUUAGAAUGACAAAGAAACUGUCAUAUUCCCAAACAGGAAAACUGGGAUAACCUGAUUUGAAAAUGGGAAAGCUUCUUCAUCCUAACUCCUAUGAGAUUUAUUCGACUUCCUAGUGAUUCUUCAUUACUUUAUGUAUCAAAAUCAAGCUUCUUACAUCGCGACUCAUCCUGGUUUGAUUAGAAUGACAAAGAAGCUGUCAUAUUCUCAAACAGGAAAAUUGGGCCCACCUGAUUUGAAAGUGGGAUAGCUUCUUUCAUCCUAACUCUUAUGAGAUUUAUUCAACUUCCUAGUGAUUCUCCAUUACUUUAUGUAUCAAAAUCAAGCUUCUUACAUCAUGAGUCAUCCUGGUUUGAUUAGAAUGACAAAGAAGCUGUCAUAUUCCCAAACAGGAAAACUGGGAUCACCUGAUUUGAAAGUGGGAUAGCUUCUUC